rnacentral:lncRNA from 1 species
UCACAACCCCGUUAGCUACUAUCUCGUGGGUGGACUUCCUGGGUUCGCCCUUCCCGAGGAGCCGGCCUCGCGGGAUCUCAUUCGUUGCGACCCACGCGUCCCGCAUCGGCGGGACCCUGUGGGCCACUGGUGCGACAGUAGCCCCCAGGCGUGGGCCGGAAACCUUGAGAUCCCGGGUAGUGUUGUCCCCGGUCGGUUGCUGGGCUACGCCCUAUCCAAUGCAUGGGUCCCAGGAGAAAGUCCUGGUACCCGGCCUUGUUGGCUGCAUCCUUGGUUCCCCUCAACCGAGCAAAACGGUCGGGUGCACGAUCUCCUGCCUCGUUCCCCAUGAUUAACAGGGAGUUAAGGCCACAUCGCACACCCCGUCUUGAUUUCUCCGAAACUUUAUGGCACUUAAUUGCCGAUCGUGGGGGUGUCCAUUGCAACCUGCCAGCCCCAGAUAAAUACCCAAGGCCAGCGGCGCCAGGGCACCCCCAUUGCUCUCGCUUCUGCCAUUGCCUUCCGAGCUCACCGCACCCCAACCCUUGCCAAGUUCGCUCCUCACCCCCACCAAUGUCUUCCAAAGGCCAAAGUCGACCCAAGGGCAGCACCAGCAAAGGGGAGAAGAGCGAGAAGGCCUCCAAGAAGGAGCUGUCGGAAAGAGCGCGGAAGGACGAGGAAAUGCGAGCCAAGUUCGCCUUCUUCUCCCCCGGGUACAACGGCGAGGGGGUGGAGAAGCUUACCUUGGCGCUAGCCACCAGGCACAACGAGUACGGGCCGACGCGGGUACUACCCGUCGGCGCGGAGCGCGACCCGCAGUACUUCCGGGUGUUCGCGAGGUUUGUUCUUACCGGGUUCGUGCCACCGCACUCCUUCUUUCUUUCUGCCAUCAUGGAGACAUAUGGGCUCAUCCUGGCCCAGGUUCAUCGUUCAGCGCAUCCAAGAAUCUCUCUCGACGCUUGGCAUCCGUGUUAACCUCGUCCGGCGCAUAGCGGGUGAGACUGUUGAACUGGUCGAUGAACUCGACCACUGUGCGGCUUCUUCAGAUUAAGCACCCCCGCCGAGAUGUGGGCGGUGCGGAAGGCUUCUUGGAACAUAUCCCAUGUGACAUGCUCAAUAGGGGUGGUGAUCUGGUAGUUCUCCCACCAGGAUGCUGCUGGUCCUUCCAAUAAGUGAGCUGCAAACCGAACCUUUUCCUCCUCAGCGCAGUUGAUAGUCACUAGGUUCUUAUUUACAGAGCGGAGCCAGUCGUCUGCCAUGAUUGGCUCUGGUGAGCUGGAGAAGGUAGGUGGGCGCAAGCGCAGAAACCUUGUCAACAUGUCCACUUGAGGUGGAUGGUGCUGCUGCUUGUUGUUGGGGUUCUGCUGGUGGUUGGCAUUGUUGUUGGCUAACUGCUGUGUAAUCAUCUGAAAGAAUUGGGUCUGGGCAGCCAACAGUUGCUGCAUGGUGGCAGCGUUUCCUUCAGCUUCGGCAUUGUUAGCCUCAGCGUUGUUGGCGGGGUUCCGGCGUCUCGGAGGCAUCUGUUUAGGGUAGCAUAGAUGAGGAAACAGAUAGAAUAGAGCUAAGGAUAACUAAACCCUCAAAACAAGGUAGUAACUCAAACAUAUAUCAAUCAUACACUCAUCAAACAUAAAAGGUUUUGAAAAAAAAAAAUAGCAAAACACACUUGUUUAUGGUGGGACAUUGCCCAUAAAGAAAAGAGUAUGAGGAGAAAGCAAUCGACCUGCAUUGCCAUACACAUAGGUUGUAUGGUCAAUGACUAACUCGCACACUGAUAACGAUAAAAACUAAUAUAAGCUGGUAGGCAUCAAUAGAUCUAAGGGAGUGUGGCUGUCGGUGCGAUCCCGUUCGCCUUCAUCUUGGAGCGGGUGUUUGUAGCAGGGGUGUCCAUCUCGUGGACCUCCUGGGGCUCCUCCUCCUCAGUCGGCUCCUCCUCCUGAGGCUCCAUCUCCUGAUCCUGUGGUGGAGGUGGGACCUGGUCUGGUGCCGGUGCUGCAGCUGGUGCGGCUGCGGCUGCGGCUGCGAUGAACGCCUAGAACUGCUCGCAGUAGUAGCGAGCCUGGUCCCUCUCAUACUGCAGCUGCUCGAUGGCGUCUCCCAUGUUGAGGACAGUGUUCUCCAACACGGCCUUGUCCUCCAGCCACUGGGUCUUCUCUCCCAUCAGGUUACCAACAUGCUCCUCAGCUAGGUCGGCCCUUGUCAUCUCGUGUUCAAGGCAAGACUCCAAGUCCACAGUGUUUAUCUCCAUGUUCUCGAAGUGGGUCGUCACUGGGGUUGCAUCCUCGUCGUUGGUCGUAGCUACUGCCGAGCAUGCAAGAUUCCGCCUCCCAAAGAGGAGGAAGGGGGAAUCCUCAGGGAACUCGUGCCGACAGUCCCGGCACACCUGUGCGAAGGCGCACUGCAUGACGAACUGAAGGCCCUGCUCGAAGGUGGGGUAGCGGCCGAUGAAGGUGAUAUCCGGCGUAGCUGGCGCGAUCUCACGCCCCCGGAUCUUCGCCUCGAUCUCCCACCGUGGCUGCCAUCCCUCGGGUGCGGCGGUCUCGACUCUGCCUCUGAACCUGGGUGGUCGCAGGUCGAGGAAGGCACACAGUGCUGCCAAAGGGGCACUGAACAGCUGGUCGUCGUCCAUGGAGGGGUAGUAGACUCUGGUGAACGGCGGGACGUUGCCAAGGCUUCCCAUCUAUAGAAAAUAAAGAAGGUAGAUAAGGGAGUAUCAGUGACAUGAUCAAAUGGUCGAAUGUAAAUAAAAUAAAAGUGGUAGGUUGGGAAUCAAGUGAUGAACAAUAAUAUCAAGGGUGGAAAUGUAAAUAUAAAAUGGGAUGCAUAAUAAUAUGUGAAUAACAUGGCAACAUGAUAUAGUGAUGGAUGGUGUAAUAGUAAAAGAAUUAAAUAUGCAUCUGUGGUAUAUUAAAAGAACAUGCAUAUGUGGUAUAAAGCAUAGUAUUUGGUGUAUAUGCGGAAUAAAACAAUAAACAUGUCAUGCAUAUGUGAGAUAUAAAUGCAAAGAUUUAGAUGAAUAGGGAUAAGGAAUAAAAUGUAUGUAUAUAGAUAUAGAUCAGAUAGGGAUAAGAAAUAAUCCUAAGGUUUGGUCUUUGGUCUUGUCUUAUCCUAAUCCAAACUAGGGUCAAGUUCCUACAGGCAACACAUUGCUCUGAUACCAUCUGAAGCGAUCCCCCUUCACCAAGGGUUUGAUCUCUGUGCUUACUUGUGCUAGUCUCUGGAUCGACUCACUAGCACACACAGUUCAAGAUGUAAUACCAAGAUACAAAGGUCAAAAGUACUUUAUUACAUCGUAUCAUCCAGAACUCAAAUUGUACUUACAAACUUGCAUGACCUCCUAGGCCAGCAUAAACAAAUAGUGUUCAAAACCAUGAUAACAACGUAUCAUGAAGCUGCAGCGGAAAGGUAGAGUAAAAGGGCCUCAUCUACUCCGAGAGGAGAGAGCAUGUUGGAAUGACCCAAAGAAAUAUCGACGAACCUCACUCUUCGUCAGUUUCACCUGCAUUAUUAAUUGCAGCCACUACGUGGUCAAUACAUUUGAAUGUAUUGGCAAGCUCACUAGAGUUAUAAAGGACCUACCAAGUACAUGCAUAGUUUGGCUAAGUGGGGUUUGGCUAUUUUGCAUAAAAGCAUCAUUAUUCAAAUCCUAUCAUUUUUAGACAAAUAGCUUUGAAUUCUAUUGGACACGGGGUAGAAACACCCAUGCUCCUAUUAGCCUAGGCACAUUGAGUAGAUACAUCAAUGCUCCUACCCAGUUCAAUCCAUUCGUUUUAUUAGGAAAUUGGAAUGAGUGAGACUUUCCUUACAGCUCCAAUAUCUAGUUGCUCACAAUUGUCCGUAACCGGGGACACGGCUAAGUACUUAGUUUGACACUCUCGAGAGGUGGUACACUUUACCCACAAGAAUUCGACGUGUUAAUCCCUUGCUGUCCUCCGGGUGGAGUAGCAACGGCAUCGACUUCAAGAAUUUUCAGAACAUGUUCACCCAGACCACCUGAGGGACCCGUGCUCCCACCUACACAACUACCUCAGUACAAUCCCUCGGAUCUGGUAAACAUUUCUUACUCCAUCCAGGCAGAGCCCAUAUUACCAUGUGGUUGUACUGGAAGCUACUAAACAGGAAACUAGUCUAGUCUCUGGUUAUCCCGGGUGGCAUCCCACAUUGUGACGCAGGCGCUCCCCGAAUCCACGGGAAAGACGUCCAUGGACGAUCCAUUCCUGAAUCCACAGGAACUCGACUCAGAGGGACCCAUAGAACUGGACCUAACGUCACGACAUCCGAAUACUCAAAGCAGCCCACCCAGGACGGUUCAUUGAAUUACUUGUUUUGCCAUACACUAGGAAAACUAUGUUUGUAAUUCAAUAGUAUCACAUUGUAAUAAUACUACCCUCGUAUAUUAUCAUAGCAUAGCAUUUUACUACUACGAUGGCAAUUGGUGGUGAGGGUCAUGACAAAGGUAUCCUAUACUACUAGGACAUAUCAUAGCUAGCAUAGAUACAAUAAUAAUCUUAACAAUGCAACUAAUAAAAUCUAGUGCAUAAUAAAAUAAUAGGUAAAUGAUCAAAGUGAACUUGCCUUGAUAGUAGUUGGAGUUCAAACACUCGUCACAAUCGCAAGGUUCGCUCUCCGAGAAUACUAUACAAUCAACAAACAUAUACACACACAUAAACACACAAUACAAACAUGACCAAAAAAUAUGUAUGCCAUGAUGCGAUGCAAAACAUAUGACAUGAGUGGGUUGGUUUUAUUUGGGUGAUCUACUGGUCCAAGGCAUUGAUAAUUAAGCACAUGCAAUUAGGAUUUUUAAAUAAAUUGCAAUGGUUAGGGUUUAAACCCUAAAAUGAGGUUUUAUUGGUAUCAGCCAGAUAGAUUAGUUCAAAAUAUUUAUUUCUCUGUCCCAUUGGACAGAGGACAAGAAAACAAAAUUUUGGGCACUGGUUUCAUUCAAAAAGGACUUCUAGAUAAUUAGUUAUGAUUUAAAAGGCAUAAAACCCUAAUCUGCAAUUUGAAUGUGAUUCAAAUAUUCAAAUUUGAAAUUGGACAGUGCCAAAAGAUUCUAAAUUUCCCAAGGAUUCCAAAAAGGUGUGGAUCAUUAAAUUUGGCCAAACAGAUUUAAAGUUAUGAUCAUUUGAAGUUACAAGGGCUUUUCUGCAAAAGUGCCUUUUAAUUAUUCCGGGGAAAUAAAAUUACAUUUUCAUUUUAUAACUCGGGUGCCACGUGGCGCAUUAUUAUUGGACGGUACCGGUUCGGUUUAUAAAUAAAUCUGAGCCGUUAGAUCUAACUUAUAAAGAUCGGACGCUCCACAGUGCGUACCGGUUCGUUUUAUAAGUGAUCUAAUCCUAGCCAUCGAUCUAGAUCGGACGGACGAGGGGAGUUCUAGGGUUUUACCGGGCGGCGCGGGCUGCCAGAGUUGGAGGAGACGGCGGCGCAGGCACGGGCGUGGCGGCGCGGGGUGCUCCGGCAUCGCGGGCGGCUCGGGGAAGUCACGGGGAGGCGCGGCGCGGCACGGAGCGCUCGGUGACGGGGUCGGCGCGACUUCGGGAGGGCUGAGGGCUCGCCUAGGACGCGCGAAGACGGCGGCGCGGUCACCGGACUCCGGCGAGGACGAGCGGGCGGCGUCCGGAGGCUGCACUGCACGGGGGCGAAGACGGAGCGCGUCAACCGAAGCGCACGGAGGAGUAGAGGAAGAGGGAAAAGAAGAUGGCGGCGCUGAAGGGGCGCGUAGAGAUAAACAAAAAAAAUUCCUACGCGAACUCCCAAGAUCUAGUCGAGGUAGAAGGCCACGAGGAUUACCACUAGACGCGCAGUUGCGGAUUAUCGAUGCGGCGCCUUGAUGCAGUGUAGUCCCUCGAUCCGAUCCAGCCGAUCCAAUCCCGCGAUCGUCGAAGUGCUGAACGUACAGCACCUCUGCCGGUAUCCACACGUGCGAGGAGGAGCUCCGGCGGCGGACUGCUAGGUCCGGUGCGACGGUUGAACUGAAUCGGGCUAGGGUUCUCAACGCAUGAGAGUGGAAAAACCGUUGCCCUUUAGGCAUCCCACGCCCCUGCUUAUAUAUCGAGUGGAAGUGGGCUCCAAGCCUUGUGGCCCAUCCACCCUGCGAGUCCAACUCGCAUUGUCAGCCCAAUUCCAGUUCGGGUCCAACCCGACCAAAUACUUGCUCCCGCUCUUAAGUGUGUGACCCCGCAGGCUCAUGGCGACUUGGACACGAUUGGAGUCCGACUCACAAUCGAUCAAUCGGUAGCGGCUCCUAGCAGAACGUGCCGACUCCCAAGUACCAUCGAGUCAUGAUGACGUACCUUCCAAUGUGACAUACGUCUUAGUCCCUUUUGCCUCGCGAUAUACCUUGUCGAACUAUAGGCGAUUAAUCGUCAUCCCUUUAAUAGUUCAACUCUCUUCUCGAUCUGUGAUAUACGAUUCAUCCGACUAACUCUUAGUCGAUCGACCCGGUUAACAGUUAACCAAGUCGCGCAUGGCCAUGCUUCCCGAAUCAUAUCACUCGAGAGGGCCCAGAGAAUAUCUCUCCAGUCGUAGGGGCAAAAUCCCAUCUUGGUUAUCCACAUCACACAGCUUGAUUCUCAGUCAACCCGAACUCUGCCUUUAUAACUGCCCUGUUACGGAACAACGUUUGACAGAACCUAAGUUGGUGAUCCACAACUCGGAUUGUGCGAUAACCUCAGGUCUAAGGAUUACAUUGAUUGAGACAUGCAAAUGACGACCUACUCGUUGCAUCUCAAUAUGGGUCAGUCCGACUCGCUAAACUCUUUAGCCGAGUCCGUGUAAGCUGGAAUGACAUCACCAUGCCCAUGACAAGUGGAACCGAGUCAUCAGCCAACUUUCACAUUAGUCUAGGUUAUGUGUCCAGCACAACCUCAAUGACUAAGGACAAUUUAGUAUGAACAACAUGAAUACAUAGUUCCACAAUCAAAUCACAUAUUCAAUGAUACAUAUCAGAUGUUCAAACAAGGACAACUUAAUAAUAUUUAUGAAUACAUUGGGAAUUACAUCAUACAUGAUUGCCUCUAGGGCAUAUUCCCAACAGCGCUUACCCUUAGGGUUCACCGGAGACGGAGGAGAACGGCGGCGGCGCGGGCAAAGCUCCGGCGAGAAAUUUCUCGAGCCUGGGGGCGCAAUAGAGAGGGGAAAGAGGGGAAAGAGAGAGAGGGGCGCGUUGGCUUUAUAGGGACGCGGGCACGGAGGCGCGGGAGGCACGGGAUGCGGAGAUCACGGCGGUGACGGUGCGCGGCGGCGAAGAAGGAAGGUGGCGCGCGUCGCGGGCGCCUUCCAAACGGGGAAGAAGCCGCUGACAGGUGGGCCCCACCUGUCAGCGGGUGCGGGCGCGCGCAUGGAGCGGCCGGGCUGGCCGGGCCGGCGCGUGUCGCGGUCGGGCACGGUCGGACAGGGCCGGUUCGGCCCAAGGUGGUCGGGCCGGUCCGGUUUACCCCCUUUUUUUUCUUGCCUUUUCUUUUUCUGCUUUUCUUAUUUCUUUGAUAUCUUUUGAGUUUGAACUCCAAAUUGGUCCAAAUAAAAACCAAAAAAUUUGUAAAAUCAUGUCCUACCAUGAUACAACUUUUGGGAGUAGUUUCCCCUCAAAAUAAAAUAUAUAAAAAUACAUUUGCCCUGUAAAUGCCUUUAGGGCUAUAUAUCUAUUUGAAUAAAAUACUUUUUUGACUCCAAAUAAUUAACCAAAAAUUAUGGGAUAGCUUAUAUAUGCAUUAAACCCCUUUUAUACAUAAACCCUAUUGGUUUGAAAAUCCAAAGCUUAAAUGGGUGUAAACAAAGUCUUUUAGAGCCCUUUUGAGAUUCAAAAUUUGAAUUCAAAUAUGCAAUUGUGGCAUGAUGCUCAUGGAUGCAAUGCACAUGUAAAAGUUUGAAAUUUUGGGAUGUUACAGCCGGGAGAGGGGAAUGACCCAGACUGGGACUCCGCCAGGCCGGAGGACUCGGACUCCGGCGAUGACUCUUCUCUUGGCGUCGGAGGAAACUCCGAGGACAACGACGACGCUCCCCGGGAAGCUGGCGGGGGUGCGCCGGAGGAGGACGAUGACGACAAAGACGACGUCCCCCUUGUGAGACGGUCGGCUGCACAAACGGAAGCGAGCGGGAGGCAAGCCCACAGCCCCAAGCGUCUCUGCCGGAUGCGGGGACCGCUGUUUCCGCCGGCGGAGGGGCUACUACGGAGGCCACCCCUGCUGCCCCGGCGGCUCCGCUGGUUCCGCCCGCACGGAAGAGCAUCUUGGCGGAUCGGGUGCUCAAGCUCAAGCCGCCGGGGUAAUUUCACUUCCUAUUUAAGCAUUUUUGUUUCCUCGAUUUCCACAGGUUUUGUCAAUUUAUUUCUGCGUUUCCACAGGUCUUCAAAGAAGAAGGAGCAGCCUAGCACUUCGCCGGCAGCCCCGGCCAAAUAACCACGCCCGACAGCGGGUGGUGGUGAUAAAGACGCCGUUGACGCGACGGGAACAUCGGCAUCUGCCGCUGGGGAUACACAAAUCCUCGACCUUGGUCGGCAGGGCACCGGCCCAGGAGCAGGUACCCCCGCAACCUGGUACCCCUCAUUUUAGCUAGUCCCAGAAUUUGUUUCUUAUGCCAAGUCCCUUGCAGGGUCAGAGGCAGUCGGCGGGAGCCUCUCGGCAACCGGCGGCAACGUGGGCGACAGAGCCGCACACACAGCCGGGGACGGGACGCGGCAAGGUACUGCGUUGCUUCUUGCGAUGACUUUCUAUUUUGGAUUACAUUAUUCCCCCAAGCUGACGCAAAUGUUUUCAUGCAGUCGCCGGGGACGCUCCAUCUGCACCCGCAACAACUGAAAUGUGGGUGAUCGACCUCACCGGCGAGGUCGACGACGCCCCAGAGGACACCAUCUGAGAAGCGUCGCUGUUAGAGAAGCAAUGAGGGCCCAUUGACUAAAGUUUUGAUCAGGCUUCAUAGGGGAUAUUUCAGCAGUAGGGUUACCAUCAUUUGUAAACAUAAUAUUUCAGUGAGAUGAGCAGCGGUAGUAAGACGAAUAACAGUGUCGGGGUAUCCUUUGUUUGACAAAUUGCCACUGUGCUUGAACAAAUUUUAUGGUUUACAACAUUACGUGACUUUUGUUUAUGUAAAUGUUUUAUCAUUGUAUGUGUAAGCUAAUAACUAUGCCUGUUAUGAUGGAUAGUUGUUGAUUCUUUGUGCGCUUGUAAAUUGUAAUACACCUAAUUGAGUUGAGAUUAAUUUUGACGUGCGUUGCACGUGCAAUAUUACUAGUGAAUAAAAGGAGGGACUACGGUUGCAGGUGGAGUCAUGUGAUGUCAAGAAAGUAGAAGUGAAGCUCAUGAUUAAUGUUUCAAGUCCAAGGUACACGAAGAUUGGUGCAUGACAGCUUCAAGGUGGCGAGAGACAUAUUCACCAAGGUGGAGUUUGUUGAGAUAUGUGCCGAAUAUGUGUUCGAGUAGAUUAUAGUUGGACUUGGAAUUAGCGGAGGGUUAGGUGUUGGAGUCGAGCACGUGUAACCCGUGGCCUAAUAUAUAAAAGCACCGCUAGAUAGCCUAAAGAGACCAUGACAACAUAAUAGCAAUAGACUCGCAGGGGGAGCCGGUGACUUGUGCCGGUGUCCAGGGUGGCUGGUGUUGCGGUAUUAUGGGAGAGGAGCACACGUAGUCAUGUCCUGAGGAUAUAUGCUUCGGUCGAACCUCGUUAACAAAUAUCAUGUCUUGGUGUCAUCCUCGAUCGUGGUCCGCCGGAUUUCGUAACAAAAACAUAUCAGCUUUUAUGAAAAUGCAAUUAUAAAUUUUUUAAAUAAAUCUAAAAGCAAUCAGGAAUGCAUAGAAUUUCUCGUACACUUCCUAUCCUAAUAAAAACUAUAGGUUUUACAUUGGUAGUCUAGCCACCUCUUGGCACCAAAUAUCGUGCUUAUCUUGUAUAAAUAUUCCGUGCUUACUUCAAGGAGGAUGGGUGUGAAAGCUGCAUAAUCCACGCUUGGAUGUCUCUUUAGCUAUCUGCACAAGUUGUACCUAAAUAAUAUUUACAUGUUGUUAUUAUACAAAAUAACUCACCAUAUUUGCCAAUGAACCUUUUUAUUUUUGACAACACUAGGACACCUCAUGUUUUACUUGGGUUAUUUAUAGGGUUGGGUGCUUUGAGGUAAGCUCCCUGAGCUCUUGCCACCUUCCUUCCUUGUAUAGCUACCAUCCCCGUUAUGUAUGGUUCCUCCUAAAUCUCCUCCCAUUGCCCCUGCACUUGACCAUUUAGCUUUCUGCCUCGAAGGCCGGUGCAAAAUUUUAGGAGCCUCUGUGAGGUGUUUGGUGCUUGACACAAGAAUUUGGAGGCCUUCAACAAGGUAUGGUUCUUGUUUUGCUUUGUUUUUGGCAAGGAAAAAAUUGGAUCGUAUGUUCAAAUUCUCUGUGUUGAGAGAUGAAAACAAAGAUAAAGAUGGUGCAGAAGAAACAUACAAUUUGUUUUUUAUCAAGAAAUAUGAUGAGAUGGAAUUUGUUCUUUCUCGGUUACAUGCCCCCUUUAUGUUAUUUUUUCUCCGUCCAAUGUUCAACAUGAUGCUUUUGUUGGCACAGGUUGAUGAUCUAAACGAUAAGUUGUGAGAUACGCAAGGAAGCAAAUCAAUCAAUUAUCAAAUCAGAGAAAAAAGGAGAAGAGUUUGCAGCCCAGAGAUGGGGCUGUCGAUCUCAUACCCACCAGAUGACUACUUGCCAGCAAUGGAGGAUAACAUGGGCAGGCUGUUCAUCCGGUCUGUCAGCUUCAACGACAUGGAUGGCGCCGAGUCGCCGUCAGCAUUGCUUCCCCCCGUCUUCGCCUCCCCGAAGUUGGUCACAGAAAGAUCCCUGAGCUUCAAUAGAAGAGAGUCUGACCGAGUUCAGACAUCGGUGAGGACUCCCAAAUCUGACAAGGAGCCUAGUAUUAGUGCUGGGUCAUCGAGAUUCGGGCCGCUGACGGGAGAGUGCGCACCAGACUCUCCGGUGGUUGGAAUGGAGAGCUCCAAGCACCAGGCCGCCGCAGUCAGGCUGCAGAAGGUGUACAAAAGCUUCAGGACAAGACGUCAGCUCGCGGAUUGUGCCGUUCUUGUCGAGCAGCAAUGGUAGGAUUGUAAUGUGCUCCUUUUUGCAUUGGAUGCUAGUUUUUGACAAAAAUUGGAUGCUGAAUUCAGGUGGAAGUUGCUUGAUUUUGCACUGCUCAAGCGGAAUUCGGUAUCCUUCUUCGACAUAGAGAAGCCGGAGACGGCUGUUUCAAGAUGGUCUCGGGCUAGAAUCAAGGCUGCCAAGGUAGCGCUCUUAUUGUUCAGGUUAUGUGAUAGCAUCAUUACUGUAAUCUUGGCACAAAGUUAUAGGUUAUACGUGUCUGAACCCGUACCAUCGCGACCUUUGUAUCACCAGUCAUCUUGAAUAUGAUGCAUUGUUGACACUAUCACAUUUAGGUUGGUAAAGGACUGUCCAAGGAUGAAAAGGCCCAGAAACUUGCUCUUCAGCAUUGGCUUGAGGCUGUACGUGCCGCAAAAUACCACGUCUCCACACUAUCUUAUGAUGGCAUUUUUGUAGUGAAAACUGAAUUUCAUCUCAUGUCUGUUGUCAGAUCGACCCACGCCAUCGGUAUGGCCACAAUCUGCAUUUCUACUACCACCGGUGGCUCCAUUGUGAAAGCCAGCAGCCAUUCUUCUACUGGUAAAAACUCUGAAUACUAUUCUGGUCUGGUGUAGUCUAGUCUGUCUUUGAGCAAAAUAGGAAAGCAAAGCAAAGCAAACGUCACGGACAACUCAUGUGUUUUUAUCAGGUUGGAUGUAGGCGACGGAAAAGAUGUCACCUUAGAAGAGCAUUGUUCCAGACGGAAGCUGCACAAGCAAUGCAUCAAGUACCUUGGUCCUGUAAGUUCCACAAUUUUCUCUUCUGAUCCCAAGAUCUGAACCAACCAUUUGGAAGCUUCCUUCUAACAGGACACAUGCUGCUGGAAUUCUGCAGAAAGAGAGGGAGCCCUACGAAGUGAUUGUCGUUGACGCGAGGCUGAUGUACAAGGUAAGCCAUCAGAUCGUCGACACCACCAGAGGCCCCAAGGGAACAAAAUGGAUCUUUGUGCUGAGCACAUGCAAGGCCCUGUAUAUCGGUCAGGUCAAUGACUACUUGACUCACUUCUAUCGACGAAUUUAUUCAACCUUGGGAAUAUUCCAGUAACUAAUGAGAAACUGAAGUUUCCAACAUCAUUGCAGAAGAAGAAGGGCACAUUCCAGCACUCCAGCUUCCUUGCAGGGGGAGCCACAUCUGCUGCAGGGAGAUUAGUGGUAGAGAAUGGAACUAUGAAGGUAUCAAGGGGACUGUAUCUUUUCUUAAGUAUAUUAACACAGAAAUUGUUAUUCCCUGACUUGGGGGAUUGCUCAUUUCAGGCUGUCUGGCCUCAUAGCGGACAUUACCGGCCAACUCAGCAAAAUUUUCAGGAGUUCGUCAACUUUCUCAAGGAGAGAAGUGUGGAUCUUACAGACGUCAAGGUGAGGAGCAAAAUGUGAACAAUAAGUAACAUCUGAUCUGCCCAUGAUUGAUCAGAAAAGAUGCUGACAGAGUUCACUCCAACUGAUAUUUGUUGCCAGUUGAGCCCAUCAGAAGGCGAAGGCGAAGGCGAAGGCGAUGCUGAGUUCAGCUUCAAGAGUAGCAACUCCCAGGUGGACUUGACCGAACUCAGCCAACCAGAAAAUAAAGUAGACGAGGCACAAGUGGCACCAUGCAAUGGCACCGGCGAAACCGAGAUAAGCAAUGGCAGCAUGCCCACCACUGCGAUAUCCAAUGAACUCAGAGCAAGCACACCAAGGAUCGUGGAGUCCUCCACAACCAAUAGGCUGCAAGGGAAGCGGCCAUCCAGGCUGCUCAUAAAUUCUUCUAACAGAAUUCUACCCACUACACAGGAUAAUAGAAGGACAUCACCGGACGCCAAGGACAUCAAUGAGGAUUCUGCCAUGUUCAGCGAGUGCCUAGACUUCUGCAAGAAGAACCUAUUUGCAGAGGUCGAGGAGGAGGAGGAGGCGGGUGAGCUAGUGGAGGUGCCGGAGGAGCUGAUCCUGCGCCGCAUAACCUCCAAGAAGGGCAUGAGAUCAUGCCAACUGGGGAAGCAACUGUCCUUCCAAUGGAGCACCGGGGCAGGGCCUCGGAUCGGGUGUGUCCGUGACUACCCACCGGAGCUCCAGUUUCGGGCAUUGGAGGAGGUCAGCCUGUCACCGCGAAGCAGUAGGCCAAUGAGGUUUUCAUCGCCAAGGCCAAGCAUGCUGACACAAAAUACUGCAAAGGUCGGUGGUACUCCUAUUUUCCAAGGUGGCGGCAUCCACAUGAUACCCAAGUCUAGGCAGAGGAGUGUCACUUGGACUGCUUUUUGAUGGUCAUGCGACUGAAAUAAACUGUACAUAGUGAGAGGCAAAGGUGAGAGAAAAUGAUUACUAGGUUACAUUUCUUCGGUAGGUUCGGUAGAGAAAAUACAUCAAAAGGAUGUAUCUAGUACCAAAGUUGCAAGUCUUGUCAGUUGACAAACUAACAGGAUGAUUCAGAAACUGUGUUUUUGGAUUGAAACAUAUGCUCAGAAGCUGUAGAACACAACAAUCUCAAAAAUCAAAACAUCACCUCCAAAGAGGACAAGGAUUCACUAUGAGAUUAAUCAGUCAAUUCAUUUUACCCUGAUGUGAAGGAACAUGAUCAAUAUCACAACAGGUGCACUUAAUUUCGGCAACAGACCAAAACUAAACCAGGAAAGUACCUCAUUAAAUAUCCAACCCCAAGCCGAGGCCUAAGACAUAACCAGUGUCCAAGAACUUGAUUGGAAAGCAGUACACUAAAGAAGGCAACAACCCAACAUUUUACUUAUCCGAGGUUGUUAAGUACAUUACAGAUGAAUUGGGAGGGUACAUUCUGGGCACAAUCUAACAAUACCUGAAAUGACAUCUUAAUAUCUUAUCAGUCGUUGAGAAGCAAUUUCAGAAUUCAACUGUUUUCUUUACAGAAAUUGUUGCAACCACUGAUGUUUUUCUCUAGUGAAAUUCGCAAGAUCUCUCGAGUUGGUUGGUCUACCAGCCGAUAAUGUUAUAGUAUAAUUUUUUUGAUAAUCUUAUAAUACAAUAACAAAUCUCUUCAGUCUACCAUUCUAGUAUUUUGCGCCAACUAGCAUGCUGUAUAAGCAAGGAUUCGACUCCUAAGCAGGGGUCACGAGCUCCGUCAAGGACAACUGGCAGCUUCACACAUCAGAAAUCCUGGUGUCUCAGGUACCUGAUUGUAGCUCACGAUUGAUUCCCCGUCUCAAUGUCUCGAUUCACAUUAUCUGAUCGCUGUGCAGGAGAUGAGUCGCCCUGUAUACAGCAAGCGGGUGAACCAGCCUACAGAGUAAUUCAACAAGGGCAUAGGUGCAUAGUGUCAGAAUACUACAGCUCAUCAUACCAUCCCAAAGUCUUCAGAUUCACCAAGGCAGUUAGGUGUUUCAGCAUUUGCAGUUCCUGGCUCUGGAGAUGGCAAGGCAGAAUGCUGCAAGCAUGGGUGGGAAUUCACUUUGUCAACAUGGGCAUAGAGCUCCAGAAAGAUUGUAGCACGCUUGAGAAUUACCAGAAUCAGAUGGGACUUGCCUUAAGGAGCACUGGGCUUUGUACUUCUUUUCUGACUGUGCCAAUUUCCAACUUAUAUUCUACAUUUACAGUGGUUGUAGAAGUGAUAAAAAAGAGCAUCAUGAUUGUACACAAUUCAUAUUUCAUAAAUGAAGCAUGUCAUGCACAUCUGAAACAUCAACGGGCGGUGGUACAUAUAUGACUUGAUUAAUUUACAUGAUGCUAUUCUCAGGAUAAUAUACCAAACAACUGAUUAUAUCAUUGGAAACAACGUAGCCAAUUGCUUUGAUGGACUAUACGCAGAAUGUUCCACUUGGCAUAAAGGAAGUUGAGAAAUGUGAGCGGAAGUGCAGCAUUACCAGAUGGACAAUAUUGUUCAAUUCACAGCCAUGUGUUGACUUACAUUCUAAGCCAUCUUUAAUACCAUAUGUAGUUACAUAAAAAAAUAUCUUAGAAAGUUUCUGUGAAAAAAUUUCCAUGGCGCUCUUUAAGAGUUGAUGAAUUACCUGCUUCAUCAAUUACAGGUACCAUCUUAUGCCCAUUACGUGGAUCACCUUCACUACCUGGAAUACUAUUUGUUUCGCAAUCCAAUAUUAACAGCAUGAUAAGGUUAUGCUGUUAUUGCAAAUUCCAAAUUUUGAAUGAAGCUCUCACCUUUCUAACUCUUUGCUCACAUUAUCUUGUAUUUCCUGACUCUCAGAGACCGGUGAAAACCUUUUUGCUCCCUAGUAUAUAAUUAGGAGAAGUGGCUAAGAACUGCAAUGCUGGUAACAAGAAAUGCAUAAACGAGUAAAUAACAUUUGUGUCUUGCCUGAUGUCCAAUAUUGCUGAUUAUGUCUUGAAAAUUCCGUAAAGCAAUUUCCAUGUUGUGAAGCUCCAUAAGCAUUGCCUGGAUGAAGAAGAACAGACAAGAUCAAUCUGACUUUCUGUAGUUUCAGAGACAAUAGGACAUGUAUGACAUCAUAAUAGAAUGACCUGCUUAUCUUUAGUCAGCCUCUCAAUGAUCUCAUCCUUCACCAGCAGGGCUUUCGUAAGGUAACAACGUUAAUGAAAAACAACAAAGCAUGGCAUUGGUAUGAAUAGAAAGUAAGAAUGAAUACGUGCAAUGCUUUUCACAUCGUAAUGGAUAUUUCUUCUAGUUGUGGGUGAAAAUUGUUGUUAAGCUUCUCAGCAUCAAGUUGUCCCUUCAAUUCAUAUAUGAUUCUCGCUCGAUUUCGAAGUUCAAGUUGGUAACUAGUUAUUUUGUCUCCCAAGAAACUAAGUUUCUCUACAUAAAUGAAUAACCAGAAUCAGAAAAACGAAUAAAAAUAGAUUGUCCACAUACAUGGUAACCAUAAUUGCUGUAACAUUACAAUUUGAGACUAAUGAAGCCAUAUUACAAGAAGCAAACAUACCAACAAAAUCUUUCUCGAGUACAGAAAUCCUUUGGACCUUACCCUUCAAAUCAGAGACUGAAAUAAUAAUGUGCGGAGAAUUAGUGCAAAAAUAAUAAAAUAUAUUGGUUGAUGUUAUAGCCAUAAAGUUCUAUUUGUGUCCAUACCUAUAUUUUCCUUCUCACAAACUAGACAUUCCACAUCACCUAGUGCUUGUUUCACUGCAGCAACUUCCUUUCCUACUGAACUGAACAAUGCCAGAUGAGAAUUUAGCUUUUCUGAAAUUACAGCAAUCUGUUUAUCCUUCAACUGGAUUGUCCAUUGCAGAGAACAAGCAGAGUCCUGCCUAUCAAACACGGUAUAGCCAAACAUCAGUUUUGCUAACAUACACAGUUUAGAACUCAAGGCUAUGUAGCAUAUACUAUUCAUACAAACAAAAAUAAUGUGGCAUCGGCAAAACGAAAUGGUAUUAAAUCUUUAGAAGUUCCUGCAUGCUACAAACCAAUGAAUGCUUCAUGUCAAGAUUAUAAAUACCCAAAGGCAGAGAAGGAGAUGACAGACAGUACACAAUGUACACAAGACAAGAUCGCAGCUGGUAACGAAAAUCAAAGAAAGUGGUACACUAUGAUCUCACACUCCUAGAGUUGUCCAUUUUUAUAUCAUGAUGAUGUAAAAAAAAUUAACAGAUAGAUGAAGGGAGCCUUGCAGGAAUAUGCGACUACCACAGAGACGUGAAAACGGGACAGACAUAAAAGCAGAAACAUGCCUCAUAAUGUUUCAUGAAAGUCUCCCUUGAUUGAAGCAGCCUCUCCAUGCUUUCUUUCAAAUCCUUUUCGUUUCUCCCAAGCAGCUCGUUUUCAUUUUCAAGGCACUUUACCUGUACAGUAAGAAAACAACUGUGAUGACUCUCCCCGUGCAAAUAAAUGAUCCCACACAAGGGGAAGAUUCGAGAAUUGGCUAGCCGCUAUUGCAUCAUGGAAAAUUCGAAACAGUAUUGCUUGUGUCAGAUCAGCUUUACACCAGGAUAUAAACCAAUGUCAUGAUUCAACAAAUCUAAACUUUAUAGACAUAUGUAAUCUAAAUUCUAAAAUGCCGCAAACCAGGGGUCUACGUGAAUUGAAACACAGCAUGCAGACGCCAGGAGGGUAAAACUGAACAAUUCCAAUACAUGCCACGAGAACAGCUACUAGCUAAAGGCCGAACCGGGGAGAAUGGAGGCAAGAACUAAGGAGCACGAACCCUGGACUCGAGCCUCCGCAGUGCUUCAUCCCUGGCUGACACCUCCGUUCGCAACUCCCGCGUCUCCCGCUGUUGUUCCUCCUCUGCCUCCUUCCAUCUCUGCACCAUCCAUCCGAUUCCACCCAAAACCCCGUUAGAAAAACAUGAAUCAUUAAAUUACAAAAACCAUGAGAACGACAGCACCAAUCGAAGCCUACGCGAGCCGCAGAGACCUGGCUUGCUGCGUGGAUUUCCUCGCGGGCGGCCCGCUCCCGCUCCUACGAAGUUUGGGGAGGGAGAGAGGGAAAGGAAGGGAGGGUUAGGACCUGAGAGAUUCUAGACGGUUCUAGAGAGUGGUGGGGUGACUCACGCGGGUGAGGCGGAGAUCCGAGACGAGGGCGAGAAGUUGGAGCUGCAGUUCCGACAUCGCCGCCGCCGCCGCCUGCCCCUCCAUUGCGCCGGGGCGAAAGACCGUUUCCUUCCGUUCAGCUACUCUGCUGAUCCAACGCCACUUGCAUUGAUCUGCAAACAAGACCGUUUUUCAAAGGAGUAUUUUUCUUAAGCAACUAAUUAGUUUAUGUCCUAAUAUUUUAAAAUGCGCAUCGAAGAAUCAAUUCUAUUUUUCUCAAAAAAAGAGUAUAAUUCUAUAUAUAUUUCCUCCGUCCAACAAAGGAUGUCUUAAUUUUUACUAAAUUUGAAUGCAUCUAUACACUAAGUCAUGUUUAAAUACAUCCAAAUUUUAACAAACUUGAGACAUCUUUUAUUGGACGGAGGAAGUAUUCGAUUUUGGCAGGAUUUUCCGGUUGUCACAUUUUACAAAAAGAACCUUGUCAAAAGGUUUUUUCUUGACUCUUGCUCUCGCUGCUCCUUUGUUUCUUCUCUGGUUCUUCUCAACCAUAACUAGCGCUCUGAAUAGAUCCGUAGGCUCGUCAGCAAUGAAGUGAGGGGAGAAGACAAAUCAGCUGCGAUAGCGCUAAUGCGUCAUUAGUAGCGUCUCCUCCGGUGGUGCAUAUCCCACUGGGUUAUUGCCUCUAGUAGGGUUCCUAGGCUUAACAACGGCAUUGACACCAACAUUUUGCCGUACUAGGGCCACCUAGCUAGACGGAGCCCCACAUAUUGAUUAAUCUUUGUCCGUUGUCUGUCGCCUAGCUGUCUCGCCGGACUGCUCACCCCUUCGUUCGCGUCUCGCAGCCACCUCGGCGUUGCAGGGACAAUGAAGAAGGAGACUAGGAUGUCGAAUGGGAAAGCAGGGAGGUUUGUGCAAAAUUUCCAUUCAACAAAUUAUUUAAUGUGUGCGAGCGUACCGACAUGGCAAAAGUCAACAUGCCACAUCAGUUGGUCAGACGAGGUCAAACGAAUCUAGGAUAGUUAACCAGUAAACAAAUAAAUUGGGACUUGGAUGUGCAUUCUGAAAGGCUUAGGACAGAGUUGGCUCUUUUCUUAAAAAACUAGGAUCCCAACACAUUUACACUUUUUAAAAAGUGGAGAUGAAAAUGAUUCAAACCAAAUCCUCUUUUUUUAGCUCCGGCGUAAACUUGUGAAUGAAAGUGAAUCACUUUUGUAUCAUUGAUCGAGACAUGAUCUAUUUAUACAGGGUUUAGGGAUGUCUAAGAGGUGCCUUUGUAGAAAGAAGACGUACGAUGCUCGUAAGGCCUGUACAUAAUGGUAAUCCUAACCGCUAACUUUAACAAUCUCUUUUUUCUCUUGAGAAUUCCUUGUAUAAUUUUGACAAACUUGUUACAGUAACCUUGAGGAUCUCCUAGAAAACACUGUAGGAAAAAUAUAAGGAGAAAUAUAGAAAUUUUAAUGUAUCACUGAAAACUCCUGGAGAAAAUGAUAAAACAUAUUUAUGACAUCUAAUCCCUUCCACUAAAAGAUUACAGUAAAAGAAGGCGCGUUACUUUUUUUCUCCUUGAUGUUCUUGAUUUACCAUUAGUCAAGUUUACAGAAAAAUCUACAGACAUAUACAACUCCACAUUAGUUUUAUUAAAUCCGUCGUGAUAUAUAUCUUUAUUGUAUAUUUCGACUUACCCAUGCAAAAUCUAUAAAGGCAUGUUUAGAAGUUUUUUUUUUAAAGGAAUAUCAUAUGUUGGAGGUGUGAUGCAAAUGUGCAAAACAGAUUGGUAUCAAUUUUAUAUGAUCACUCACAGCACUACUGUAGUCAAAUUUCACCUUGUAUGGCAUGUAUCUUUCAUAGCACCAUACUACUGUAGUACUCCCUUUGACUCAUAAUUCUUGUCGUGUAUUAUCAUGUUUUUCAUGUAGUAACGAGGUACCAUACUACUAUAAUACUCCCUCCGUCUCAUAAUUCUUGUCGUGUAUUAUCAUGUACCAUACUACUUGAACUAAAAUAGCGACAAGAAUUAUUGGACCGAGGGAGGGAGCACAAUAUAGCGUGUAUUAUCAUGUUUUUCCCGAGUUAUGGCCUGGGCAAAUGUGCCAUGGAUUGAUGGAUUUAGGUUGGAUUUUUGCUCUUUGAGAACUAGUCACUAACAUACUACUGGCAGAAUUGUCAAUAAUUUUUUCCCACACCGUCUAGAUUCUAUAACUAUAUCGGCUACGAUGAAGGCUGCAUUUUGUGAUUUUUGCUUGAGAAUCAGAUUUCUGUAACUUAUUAUGCCUUGGUAAUACUGAACCUAAAAUUGUUUCUCGUGCAGGGAGAAAAAGAGUACACACCAGCUCCUAUGCUAUAACGAAUGGUUCUAAAAAGAUUGACAGCUUUAGAUGUGUCGCACUUCAUAUUUUCAUUCGGCUUUAGCUUUUUUUUAUUAGUGCUUGCAACGCUUCAAACAUUCAGUUAUGAUUUACACAACUAACGUCAAAAUGUUCUUUCUUUGGCAAGUGCACUUUGAAAAGGCUUAAUGCAAAGUAAUGUCACUUGCUUAUAUCCAAUCAAGAAUUAUGAGAAUCUCACUAUAUAACAAUAUUUGUCUUCAUUCAAAUUUAACCUUUGUUUAUAUUGUCUUGUGCCAAUUUUUAUCAUUCUAUUGUUAAAAUAGACGGGUGCGACAACGCACGCCAUCAUGAUCUAGUAAUCAGCGCAAAAGAGCAGGCUUACUCUCCGAUCCAUGGCAAGCAUUAAGUACUUUUAACAGAAAAAGGUAACGGAGAGUCAACGUCAGUGGUAUAAAAUCAGAGCAAUAAUGGUUGUUCAUGUAGUAAUGGCGGGACAUAGCCAUUGUAGAAGCAAAUACGGAGUACUCCAUACAUGAGGGUUUUUACGGUACCCCUAUGCUGCCAGGGAGGAGGCAGUACAGAGUCUAUCUAGCCGUCGAUUUUUUUUUUAGCAUUUUAGAUUUUCACCCGUUUCGUUUCCUUGUUUUCUAAUUAAGUCCAUAAUACUUCUAAAUAGCUGUAUAGCACCAAACGUAGGAGGCAGGACGUCGUUCCUCGCCGGCCGGGAGAUGAGGCGGCUUGGUGGCGGCUAGGGCACGGCGCGGGACGAGAGAGAUUUGUUUUUCAGGUUUUGGCCUCCGAUCCCACCCAACUGUUCAAUUGAACUAUCUCCUGCAAUCCCGUUGUAGCGUUGCUGGUGCACUCGUCCGCACCGGACGCCAUCGAUCAGUGUAUUGGUCAACUCUACGAAGAGGAAUGACACAAAACCAUCCAGUGCUCAAAUCUUCCAAUGAUCAUGGAGUCGAAGCAUGAAGGAUUGGGCACGACUGCAAGAAACAUGCCGAUCGACUGAAUAUGAGAGGAGUUCGAGCUUGUCCAACGCCGUGCUAUGCUGCUUCAUGCGAGUAUUGGGAUUCAUGGCCCUCGUCUUGUCGCAGUUACAGAGCCGCCGGCGAACCGCCAUCUGCUUCCGUGCCCAUCUUGACGGAGUGGCCGAACGGCCCGAGAUGAACCUACACGGCUGCGCGGUGCUUGCCGGCCACGGAGCGGACGAGAGGUGGUAAAGACAUCUGCGAUACAAAUUUACUAUCUAGACCGUGGUCAAAGUGGGAAUUAUUUUUCUGCCUCGCCGAUUUUUGCCUGCCUCGCCGAUUUUCGUGGAGCAAUAUCCGUGAAUACUGGUCAUACUCCUAGAGCAGUAUACGGGGAUCUAGACCAUUAGAUUGUUGGCAAUGAACGGUUAAUAUUCAUCCCAGUGUACCAUAGAAGAACUCUUUUUCUCAUUAGUUAACAGAAAGACAUAGUCGGCGGAUUGUACAUUACUAUGUGUAUGUAGCCGGCCGGCCGGCCCGUGCUAGCAUGCUCCUGGAGACCUGGACAUAUAUACAUCGGUACAUACACAAACAUUGAGUCACAGACAAAACGGAGAAAUAAACCUUGGCAAACAAGGUUGCCACCAGUGACCAAACGCAACACACUUCAUAUAUGAGCUGUUGUUUCAACUUGCGGUUUAGGCCUUGCCGGACUCCUCGCAGCCAGGUGGCUUGAAAGCGAUGAAGCUGAUGCACUGUACUUGCCUGGUGUUGUCGAAGCCGAUGAUGCGGACAUAGGCGCCAGGGUAUUCCUUCUUGACCUCCUCCAACUCCUUGAGCACCUGCGUGGCGUCAGUGCACCCGAACAUGGGAAGCUUCCACAUUGUCCAGUACCUCCCGUCCUAGUACCCUGGGGAGUUGCCGUGCUCACGGAAGACGAAACCGACCUUGCUGAACUCGAGGCAAGGAACCCAUUUGGAGCGGAUGAGAUACUCGAUCUGCUUCAGGAGGGACUCCACGGUGAGAGGUGGCAGGUAGGAAAGGGUCUCGAACUUCUUGAUGCCCUCAAUUGGCCACACCUGCAAUUAGAUUAAAAUUAGCACACAAAGUGUGAUUUGAGACACAUAUCGAUGGAGUAUUUCACUUCACACAUAUCGGUAUGAUGAUAUACAUACCUGCAUGCUCGUGAUCCUGCCACCGUUGGAGACGCUGCCGAGGCCAGCGCCGGCAGAGCGGCGGCUGACGGGGAGCCCGGCGGUGGACUUGAGGCCCCGGAAAGGAGCAACAGCGGUAGCCGCCGCCGACAUCACUGUCGGACCCAUAGCAUCCACCCUUGUAUCACUAGAGUAUAUCUACUUAGCUAAUAUGCUAAGUUUGGCACGGAGAGAGGAGGUCGAGUGGACUUCAUUCCUGGUCACAAGGGUUUAUAUAUACCAUAUAACAUACGAGCAAUUUGUGAUUAAUUUGUUGUCGUUCUAGGAGAUGUGGAAAGGGUGGAUGCCGUUCGUUGGUUGCCUUAUCCGUUCUAGAGAAGGGAUGGAUGACCGACGCUCGCUCAGCCGUCUCCUUCGUCCAUCGUUGCCAAUCUUUCUAGCUAUAAUUGGAAGUUCCAAAGGAACAUACGGUUUCAUGCCUACUUCCAUCGGCCUAUCAUGUACCAAUCCAAUAAAAGGACAUCGUUCAACCAUCAAUCCAUGUGUGUGUAGUAAGUGAUUGGCUACGAACCUUCAGCUGACUUGCUUUAUUGGAUAUUUCUGUAAAGCGAGUCCACGGUGUGUGGGUUUAAAAUCUCGUGGCGGCAACUGUUGACGGGUGCAAAUAUCAGUAGCCUUAAAACAAUAAACUUUACUCCGUCCCUUCCGAAAUGCAAGAAUGUCCUAAGUCAAACUUCUUAUGCUGCAGGACCAUAGUUUUUGAGGUGUUCUUCUCACGAGUCCACGAAGAACGGGAAUUUUUUGGUGUCGGGUAAGGGCGGGGGAAUAUAUAGAUGCUAGCAUCAGCAUGACGGGCUAACGGGUCAGGUAGGAUUUUGGACGACGUAGCACCUGACAUGUGGGGGCCACAUGUAAGAAAACCUGUCAAAAUGUCAUAACCCUCUGUUUUGGUCAACUUGAUACAAUCUGAUACAAAACGUGUGGUUUUCCUGACAAAUUAGCAAAUUUUGUGUCUCUGUGAGAAGCACGCCCCAAAAACUGUGGUUCCGUGAAAUUUAUUCACUAGUUACACUUUAUCUACAAACAUCUACGAUUCUAAAAUAGUUUGGUAUAUAUUUUCCGUAAUAUAAUUAUUUGAUAUUCUAAAUUCGGGGAUUUGUUCUUAUAAACUUGGUCGAAGUUUAAAAAGUUUGACUUCGGACAAAGUUACGACUUUUUACAUUUAGGAAUGAAGGGAAUACAUUUUAGUAAAGCAAUUGAGGAAUUGACAGAAUUAAAUAUCUUAAAUUAUACUGGUCCAUCGUGUACUCAUGGCAACAAAAUAAAUUUAUAGUCGAAAAGUUGGACCAUGAAAACUUAAAACGUGAUACAUUAAAAUUGUUGAAUCACUCUACAUCUUGUAAUUUUCUCUUGCAACCUUCUGGCGCGCUACUCAUUCCACAUUUGGUACUAUAUGUAUAAAUGUAUAUAUAUACCGCAUUAGGAGCCUCUAUUACUGUUUUAGUAUAAAUAGCAGUUUCCAUCGACUAUGCACUUCAUUAACUUUUUCUUCACGAGAUAACUUGCUUAUCGAUUUUCUUUAAUUAUCCAGAUGGCUUCUACUAGUUUGUUUCCUUGCUUACUGGGAUUUCCGCAGACUUUACGGUUAGGUAUUAUUGUCGUGUGGACAACACGGUGGCCGGAUGUUGAGAUGAUGAUGUCCUUUAUCUCCGUGUUGCUUCUGAGGACUGCGGAUCCGAGGCUAGUGGCGGUAUGGGAUGCCUCUCUACCUCUUGAUCAGGUCAAUCCGGCUCAGCAAGAGGCGGAUCGAUGGUGGCCGGUGUGACUAGAAGCGGGGAGGUAUAUAUGAAACGUUUCUUGCUUCCAGCAUCUCUUCUAGCGGUAUAUAUGUCGUCAGCUGGUUGAGGGAUUGAUGGCAAUCGAUCAUGGCUACGAUGACAUGUAUACGCGCCGGUAGGAACACAUAUCAGGCAAUGUCGAUGCACCUGCAUUGGGCCCUUGCUGAAGGUGGUGGUGCGUAUGGCAGUCUAAAGAUUUAAGACACAAAUUUAGACUUAAAACUUAAAUAAUCAAUUUGUGCCAGCGGGAAACACACAAACACGUACCGGUAAAUUAUCAUAAUCAGAAUUUGUCGACGAAUUUGAUAUUCUUUUACAAAAUAUACUUAUCUUAAUAUGUAUAACCGGAGUUUAUAUUACAUGCCCCUCUCCCAACGAUAGUUGUAGUACUCUUAUAAUAGUAGUACUCAUGAAUACAGUUAAUCCGGGUUGUUGGGAGAGAUCACAUGCAUAAAUACAACAUGAAACAAACGUGUGAAAAAGGUACAUAAAAUCGGUGUGACCCGUUCUUGUAUUAUAAGAAAUCAACUUGCUUAGGCCUUGCCGGACUCCUCACAACCCGGUGGCUUGAAGGCGAUGAAGCUGAUGCACUGCACUUGCCUGGUGUUGUCGAAGCCGAUGAUGCGGACAUAGGCGUCAGGGUACUCCUUCUUCACCUCCUCCAGCUCCUUUAGCACCUGCGUGGCGUCGGUGCACCCGAACAUGGGAAGCUUCCACAUUGUCCAGUACCUGCCGUCGUAGUACCCGGGAGAGUUGCCGUGCUCACGGAAGACGAAACCGACCUUGCUGAACUCGAGGCAAGGAACCCACUUGGAGCGGAUGAGAUACUCGAUCUGCUUCAAGAGGGACUCCACGGUGAGAGGCGGCAGGUAGGAAAGGGUUUCGAACUUCUUGAUGCCCUCAAUUGGCCACACCUACAAUUAGAUUAAUAAUUAGCACCGAAAGUAUAAUUUGAGACACAUAUCAGUAUUUCACUUCAACAUAUGUACAUGAUGACAUACAUACCUGCAUGCACCUGAUCCUUCCACCGUUGGAGACGCUGCCGAGACCAGCGCUGGCUGAGCGGCGGCCGAUGGGGAGCCCGGCGGUGGACUUGAGGCCCUGGAAAGGAGCAACGGCAGUAGCCGCUGACGACAUCACUGUGGGAGCCAUCGUACACGUACGUAGAUAGCUAACAAGAGGAGGCAGGCUUGCUUGAGUGCUCUCUAGCUACAGCGGCUUAUAUAACUGUAGGCUCCCCACCCAUCCAAUAUCAGCACAAGAUCUAGGAGGGGUGGCUGCAGUUCGCCGCGCGGAUUUGCCCAGGCCACGCUGGCAUCCUACGGAUCAGGUCGGGCGCCACAUGGCCGCACGAAAUGGCGCGCGUUAUCCUCUGGACGGAUACAAUUGGCUGCAACGCACUCUGCAAAUCAUGCCAUGAAGUGACCAAUUUUCACCUAUCAGGAUAGAUCCAAUGUGCCACGGCAUGCACUCAAAAACAGAACUUGCUAAUCCCUCCAAUCCAUAAAAAAUCUCGCCCACUUAUUAGAAAAUUUGUAAUGAGUUAAUGCAAAAUGAGCAGCACUUUUUAUGAACUAGAGGAACAACAAAUUAAGAGAAACUCUUCUAAGAUCUUAUCGAGAACGAAGCUUGCCCCCGCGUCGCUCAGUCUGGGGCGACACGGGCGGCAACCACACCAGCCCCGGCAGCAGCCUCUCCCCGUCCUCUCCUCCCCCUCGCCGCCGCCGGGCAAAGCCCGCACGGGGACGGCGGCGGCGGGGCUGUUUUUCUUGGCGGGGGUGUCCUAGAGCUCUUGGCUGAGGCGUUUGAGGUGCUGCCUCAUCGUGGUCGCGGCGUCUCCGGCCCGAUCCGGCAGGCUAUGCCUCGUCUUCGGCUAGAUCCGGCCGGCUUCCUCCCGGAUCCGGUGUUUCCCCUCGUUCUUCCUCUCCCUGGUGCUCGGUCUGCUCGUGGCUGCGCGGCUUCACGGCGGCGCUCUUCGGCCGGAUCUAGCUACUCGUUGGCCAGAUCCGUCAUCUCCUCCGGCUGAUCCGGCAUGUCCCAGGUCUCUUCGUUUCCAUCAUUUUUCCUCUCAGUUUGGUGAGGCGGCUGAUUGAACUUCACCGGCGGCAGAUGGGCUGCUGCUGCGGCCAUACAUGGUCCAAGUCGGUCCUUUUCGAUGCCAUGGUGGCGUGGUUUUCAUUUUCGGUCGCGUCUUCGGCUGCUGCCCGUGUGCGAGGUAUGGACGUCGGCUCCGGUGUUUGGAGUGUUGCUCUGGAUGAAAACUGCCCGUGUGCGAGGUAUGCCGAAGACAACGAUGUUGUAGCGCCGUUUUCCUUCUUGGAGGUGUCGUCGAAGAGCUUCACUUUCCCUCACUUUGAUGUUUGGUGUCUUCGGGUGAAAACCUAAGAUUUGGCUAUGGCCAGAUCGGGCGACAACGGCGUUUUUACGUCGAUUUCCUCCUUGGGGGCGUUGUCAUGGAGACAACGACUCUUGGUGGCAUCGGGUGGUGUGGUCCGUCUAUGGUGGAGCUUGUUGUCUCGAGUUGUUGAAGGUUUGGUGGUGUCUCUUCUUGUGUCAUGUGUUAGCUUAGGCUGUCGGUUUGUGUCCGGCGAGAACGUGCGUUUCUUAUCCUUUGGUGCGGUUUCGGCAUGUGAUGCCUUUCGUCUUCACUAUCGUCACGUAGGUGUCGUGUUGUAUUCUCGGUGGUGUGUGGUCUUUCGGCUUAGCCAACGGCAAGUGGAGGUAUGAUCUCGGUUGUGUAUUGCCCUUCGACUUCAUCGGCGGCACAUCGGCGUCGCGGUGGGUCUCAGUGACGCGCAGCCCUUCGACUCUGCCGGCUACGUAGGUGUCAUGGUGCGGCCUUGACCCUGUGCUUCCCUUCAGCUACGGCGACGACAUAGUGUCUGGGUGGGCUCGUCAGAUCGACGCCUUUCGACUACAUCAACUAUGCUCUUCAUUGUGCAUUUAUUUUGCCAUUGACAUGUUUCAAGAGUCUAGGUUUUUUCCUUGUGUUUCUUUUAGCAAAUGCUGUUCUGCAGGCUGGCUUUUGCCCACCCGAUCAGAAAAGAAAAACAAAUUAAAGGCUAAAAUCAAGCGAUGUUAUAUUCCCUUAGCUAUUACAAAUAUGGAUGAUAAGAGUUAUUUAUCCUUUUUCAACGAGUAACCCUUUACUUGGAAGUUCCAUGUGCAUGGCGCUGCAAGAAAACAAACAUCAUAAUGGGGCAAGACUUUUUUUUUUAUAAACAUCCAAUUUGGGUUAAAGUCUGAAAGAAUUUGGCUAUCUGAACUUUCAGUUUCCACAUUCUUUUACCUACUCAAUUCUUCAGCCAACAGGAUCAAUGGCGACCUACUAACACCAACCAGAACACAUGGGUCACAAACACGAAAAAGGGCUAGAAGGCUACUUAUACACACUCAUGUGUACUGCGAGCAAAAGAACAUAAUGUACAAAACUUUACAAAAUCUAGGGAAUUAAGACCUUCCCGUAUGCUGUUGCUGCCGCUGCUGCUUCAUGCUGGCUCUCCUGGCAACAUCCCAUGGUUUGUGAGGCACACCUACACCUUGCUGGGAUGCGAAGAACGACUCGUAUCCCGGGGAGUCGAAAGCAAAACCAGUGUGCUUGGAGUUCUCUCGAGGGAGCAUGGAGAUCGCAUAGCUUCUUGCUUCUUCUGGGCUCAAAUGGCUCCUCUCAGGCAGAUGUAUCAUGCUGUAUUCGUGGGGGUCAUCCUUGUGCAUCUCCUGGAUUACUUGGUAGUCAUAGGGAAAGAGCCAUCUUUGGAGCCUGAGAAAGCACACAGCAUCAAAGACAACAAUUGAUUCAGCUACUUCAGUAUGUACAAUGGAAGGAAUAACAAACGGAUGGCAUUAACAAACAUAUAAUUUUGCAAAAGAGCUGGUAUCUUACGAUAGAUACAGGAAAUCACCAAAGAGAGCGAUGACUGGAGCAAGCAUUAGUGUGAGGUAGAAGAAAAAGGUACUCAUCAGAACAUAAAUCACAAAAUAUACAUUUUCCUGCACAAGGUACACAGCAUUAAGUCAAUGCAUUUGUAGCAAGUAAUCGUCAUCAGCAGUGUAAUAGCUACAUUAUUCACCCACCUGUCGGUCAAAUGAUGUCAUUAUCGCAGAAUAUAUGAAGAUAAACAGAAACCAGGCCGCUAUACUGCCAGCUACGCUGAAAUAAUGCCAUCUCGUGAUAGAAUUGCACGACAUGAGGAGACGUAGAUUAACAGUCACCACAACACAAGUAAAGGCCAUCGUGCUAACAUCCCAUUGACCAAGAAUCUUGCCAGAUGAACCGUGACCAUGCUGACUUGCAGCUGCAGUAAAGUAAUAGAACACUAUUGACUGGUAGAAGGCAAAGAAACCCCACACCGCAAUCACUUUCCACCGGAAGAAUGUGUUCCUAAUUCCUUCUUGGUAAAGUUGUGGGUAUUUUUUUGAUAGAGAUGCACUCACAUCCUGAAAGGGUUCAGUUUAGUGAAUGUAGCAAGGAGCGUCACUCCAGAACAAGAAAAGUAGAACAAAUACAAGCAACCAUACCUUAUCAAACAACCCAACCAUAAUUACAGGUAGUGCCGUGAAAAUGACAUUAUACAGAGACUGGAACCAGUCAUCAUAAAAUCGCUGACCAGAAAAGCCAGUUUGGAAAGUGAACCAGAACUGAGUUAGUGUAAAAGUCAGAUUCUUGUAGAAGAAGUAUGUGAUAACCUGAAACAGAAAGUGUCAAUGUUAAAAAAAUUAAACUACACAGAUUGGCAGCUACAAGCUAAGGGACCAAAGCAUACCUUGCACAAUCUCAAGUAUGACCACCGCCCAUGUACAAGAAGUAAAUCCGUAAGAUAUCGAAACUGAGCAAUGGCAAAAUCACUCGCCAUAACAGCUUGCAUUCCUUCUUGUCCGCUGAUGCCAAUACCAACAUGAGCAGCUUGAAUCAUACUCACAUCAUUAGCACCAUCACCAAUACUGAGAGUUAUCUUACGUGCACCUUUCCUAACUAAACUUGCAACCUACAAAUGUGUCAACAUUACAUGUUUUGGCAUCAUUCGAACCCAACAGGUUAUUAGGAAAUAAAUCCAAAAAUAAGAGACUUUGAGAUUGCUGAUGGGAUGGGUAACAACCAAAUAAGCACAUAUACAAUAAGUUAAUUAAUACUACCUUUGUUUCAAAAUAUUAUACCAAAACGUCUUAUAUUUUGAAACAGAGAUAGUACUUAUAGUACAAGAGUGUACAGGACAUUUAGUUAAGAGGCCAAAACUAGAAUAGCAAAAGCAACCAAUGCACAGUGGUUAAUAAUGAUCUUGUGAAUCAUGCACAAACUAUUUUGUUGUCAAGGUACAAAAUUGGAUCCUUUAAAAUGUAAUAAUAUCAAUAUCCCCCGUUUAUUGCCCAAGCAUCCUGAAAGGCAUGCAGCUGAGAGCUGCAGACCAUACUGCUAAUUAUUUCAUGGGAAAAGGCAAGGCAUGCAUGAUAAGAACGCUAAAAGCGAGAAUUGAUAUUUACCUGUGCCUUUUGCAGUGGAGAAACUCGACAACAUACAACUGAUUGGCAAAUUAAACUCAAACCAAGAAGAUUCACACGCAGAGCUGGGUCUAGAGCGUACAUCAAGCAUCGUCCAUCAAUAAUGAAAGCCAACUUUCGUCCUGGCGUGCUCCUCAAAGAACGGUGGGCUUCCUCAAGGUAACUUCUCAGACUCUGUUUUACCGAGUCUUUGAUAACACGUGCAAUUUCCACAGGGUCUCCCUGAAAAUGACUGGAACAUUAUUCAUGGCAAAGAUAUGUGCAUAAGUUGAUUUACAUCAAUCAGAUACAAAUGCUAAAUUGCUAAUUAUGGUUGAUCAAACUGCAAAACACACGAGAUAUCCAAAAGGCUAUAUAAACAUGAUGGAGAGGCUAAAGCACUGAAACAACAGAAUCAACAUAAAGUAUUUUGUACUAUUAUGCAACUAAGCCUUUUGUCCCAAGCAAGUUGGGGCAGGCUAGAUAUGAAACCCAAACAGAAACUAAAGCAAAGUGCAGGUAACAAAAGAGCAAGAGAGUAAAUCAAGGUUCAGGCACAUGGACUGCUGAUUUCCAUGCAGCCCUAUCAAAAGCAAAAUCUCUAGAUACAUUCCAGUCCUUCAAGUCCCUUUAACUGCCUCCUACCAAAAGCAAAUAUCAUAGUAAUCCACCAACCAAAGUAACAAGGGAACUACUUGUAACUUCUUAGUUCACAAGUACAUACCAGUUGAGCUAUCCAAUUAUUCUAAAUAAUAUGGUUUGAUACCUUUACCAAAGUCUCAACUUGUAUUCAUUUUAAAGCUUAUACAAGAUAUUAUAUGUUAUGGCUUAACAGUCUCCAUGACACAAUAUGGCUUGACUUCACAGUUUAAUUCUAUAGGAUUAUCUUACCCUGUCUUCAGCAUCUCUAAUUGCAUCUGUCUCAGAAGUGAUGAUGAAUUGUUUUGUAUCGUUAUUCACCAGGCUGCACGCUGCAGAGCAAAAACUAAAUAACUUCAGAAGCUUUUCUAUGUCAGGUGAAAGAGAGAGAAAAAGACCGCCCGCCCCCCACCAAUAAUCCAAAACUGAGCUUCUAUUAGACCCCUUAAGAACGAAACAAGCAUGCAAAUUGAUCUAUAUAUAAUUAAAACCUCACCAUAUGCUAUAUUAAUUGCUGUUUCCAUUUUAUCUCCAGUUAGCACCCAAAUUUUUAUGCCAGCUGCAGAAAGAGUUUCAAUGCAGGCUGGAACCCCUUCUUGCAGUUUGUCUUCUAUUGCAGUGCACCCUAUCAAUAUAAGGUCCUUUUCAAUCAACUCAGCCACCUACAGGGGAAGAAACAGAAGGAAAUUAUAUGGCAAUGUCCCAGCAAUAUCUUAAAUCAGAAUAUACAUUAAGUCUAUUACUUCAAAUUCCUUUUUCCUAGAAAUCACAGUGAACUUAGUACAUGAAAGAAUGAAAGGAUAAUGCUUUUCUAAUGGGGAUUUGAAAAAACAUCAUAAAAAUAAUAAUAUAAAGUACUGUAUGUUCUUGUUCUAGAUAAAUUACAAAUAUCUUUUGCUCAUGAUCCUCUUUCCUGACUAAAAAAUAUAUAUUAUUAUGUAAAAUACUAAUGUUCUAUGGCAGUACAAGAUAAUAAAUUAGCACAAAAAACUAUUAAACUGCAAAUGUCAGCUGUUAGGGAUGGAUGACAUGACUCCUGUAGUUUUGGGGGGAGAGAGAGAGGAGACACACUGAACAAAUUACUUCCUUCGUCUCCAAAGAUUGCCAUGCCACAUUCUAUUCGGUCAGUCAACCUUUUACAACUUCAAAAUUAACAAUUAUAAGUGAAUUGAAUUACUACAUGAAAAAUAACAGCACUCAAUUUGCUUGCAUAAUAAUUUGUACGCAAAACUUUUGCUUGUAUAUUAGCAUAGAAAUCAUAGCCAGAGUUUUAUGUUGGGAGAAUAUAAAAUUAAAAAAUGGCCUACAUUUGUCAGGUACAUUCAGUUAAUUGUUUCCAAAACCAAAUUAAUUUUCAUACAUAAAUACCAAACGGAUCAAUAGCAUGCUCAACAGUGCACAUGAGACUCGAGUUCAGUACUGGAUGACAGAAAGUAAAAAAAAUCAGGCAAGCACUAGAAGGUGGAGGGGAAGUAAUCGAAAUUCAAAUCACAGGGACUGUUCAGCCUGUAUACUCAACAGAAGAGGAUGGUACACAUACCUCAUCAAGCUUCUUAUCACGAUCUCGUAAAGAAGAUUUAGCUUGAACAAACUUCUCAUUCCAGCUUUCGUACUGCUCCCUGCUUAGAUCUCGAUAAGCAAGGCAAAGCGUGCGCAAGCCAGCAGAGCCAAAUUGUUCUAGAUGUUCUCUGCUUGUCUUUUUAAUGUCAUGAUUUCCAUCAGCUAACCGUUCAAAAAUGACAUUAUCAGCGCCCUGUUACACAACAUUUGUAUAAGGUUAGUGCAUCAAUCUACAAAGUGAUAGCUACAUAAAGAUUCUUUUUUCUUGUAUUACCUUGCAAUACAGAACAAGUUUUCCAUUUGGGAAACGGCAAACCACAGAUUGGCGCUUUCUUGUACUGUGAGUGCAGUAAAGUGUGAAGUGCAGAACAAUGAUUUCAUCUUGUCAAAUUUAAAUUGAAAACAGAUAAACCAGACCUGUUGAAUUCCAAAACAUUCAGAAUUUCAUAUGCAACAUCUUGUAUACUCCCCAUCCUCUCAACAUGUGAUUCCCGAACCAAGACUGUGGUUGGCGUACGUCUACAAGACAGGCACAAAAUGUCAACCACCGGCAUUGCCAUUCACAAUAAAAAUGCCACAUGAAAUAAUUUGCAACAAAAAUCAUAAGAACUUAGAUGAGUUCAUGUUCACAGCACUUGCUUUAACACUUGUCUUAAUUUACAACGGCAAUUUUUUGUUGAUGGGCUAAUAGUUUAUUUAUGCUUCUUAGUAUGUACAUUCAGUCCUUCAUACAACAAACUAUAUAAGCAAUAACCUGGGUGAGUGACUCUUUUAUGCACAUUUUCCUUGGGACCAUAGCAUAGUUUUUUAAGAUACCUUGUUUGCAACAAACUGAUAAGAGGAAUCUAUAACUGUAUUUAAAGGCAAGGUAAGACAUGCCUAUAAAAGAAGAAACCAAAAUUCUUCGCAGCAGCGACAAGCGCGGCCUCGUCGGGAGAGGCAGCUUGAUAAGUAAUCUUUUCCGGUGUCUCCUCACCCUCAGGAAGAACUGUAUGACAGAUUGCAAGGCAUCUGCAGAAUUGCUAUAGAGCAAAUAACAAAGUUGUUACACAACUAGCACAUUAACAAGGGAAAAUGUGAAAAAGGAAAAUAGGUUCCAAAUUUUAUUAGUAAGGGCAUAUAUCGUGAUAUGUGAAUAAUUUGUGUCAACUAAAUCAAAACUGAUUAUGACCAAAGGGGAACCAAUCGAACUAUUCCACAGGUAGUCCCGUAUUUACCACGCAAGCAUCAGGAUUAGGUUCAUUUCUCCAUGCACCACGCAUUAUUCUAGCAUCAUCAAAGUUGAAUCCUUUCUCAUGAACUGCAGUGGCUGAUCUUUUACCCUAAAAAAGGCAAGUAAACUGGAUAUUAAAUCAGUUGUGCAUUAAAUUUUUCAUCAUAUACCACCACACUUCAAUAGCGUAAACAACAAAGAAAAUGUUGUAGACCUCAUCAUCAUCAAUCUUGACUCCGGCUCGCUCGGCUCCUCCUUUUUCAAUCUCUGUGAUGCCAGUUCCAUAUAUUUCCCCUCCAAUCGAACAUUUAAAGAAUUCCAUCAAGUUUCUUGUAAGUGUUCCAGUUUUGUCAGAAAAUAUAUACUCAACCUGAACCAUUAGUGGGGCAAAAAAAAUUUGGCAGAAAUGUCAAAUUAUUUGCAAGUGUUAAGUGCAUUUUAGUACCACUCGGCAUUUGUUCAGUCAUAUAAGCAUUUCUGGGGAUCUAGAACAGUUUUUCGGUGGGAGUAAGUCACUUAAUAUUAGUGAAAUGAGACUGUUCCCCAAGUGCUUAUAAUUGAUCCCACUUUCUGGAAUGAGUCGGUGCAGUGAGGUCAUUCUAUCCAUUAACCAAACCCAGCCAUAUAGGUCAAAUAAGUAAAUAACCCCAUUUCAGCAACAAACAAAGGGGCUUUCAUCAAACUAAACAGAAUGCUAAGGAACAAAAAAAAAACUGAUAUUACCUGCCCAAGCUCCUCAUUCAGAUUAGAAGUCCGAGCCAAAGCUGGGGUGUUGCUCUCGGCAUGAUACAUAUUCAGAUCAUUGUUAAUAAACUUUGCACACUGAAUGAAUUUGAUCAUCUGCCAGCCAAAAUAAACAUAAGGUCCAAUCCAAAUACAGGGUACACUAAAUGAUAAAUUGGUCAAUAUACCUCAAUGGAUACAUAAAGAGAAAUGGGGAUGAUCGUUGAGUAUAGAGUUAUUAGAGUAAACAUAGUUAAAAUGGUCACCUGCAAAAGUACAAACCUAUGAUAUAAGGCCACUUAGAGAAUAUUCUCUACAAUAAAUUAACUAAAAUAAUAUAUACCACAAAUCUGUUCUUGGGAUUAAACUGGUCCUCGACACGCCCACGCAAUCCAAGAUAGAAGUAUUUCUCAUUAAUAAACACGCCACUGUUCACAAAAGCCAAGUAUGAUGAGUCCAUUGGUAGAGUUUUAGGUUUCUAAAGAACGUGCAAGCUAAGCAGUCAUAGUUACCAAAAUCUAUAUGCUGAACAGAGCACUUCCAUUUCUGACCAUCUAGAAAGUGCCCUAUUAUGUACCUCCCACAUAAAACCACUAAGAAAAAAGAUAAGGCUAUUAAGACCUAGUCAUGUGCUCAUCUAUACUGCUCCUAUGCCACAAUAAAAAAAUAACUUCCCCAAACAAGCUCCUGACAACUCAUGUCAUAAUGUUUAAAGUUUAUCUCUCUAUUAACAGUUGUUUUUUCAUGAUCAAUUAAAUUGUGAAAAAUGAUUGUGCAAGCAUAAGCCUCCACAACAUCAACCUAACCGAUAUAACUCAUGUUCAGAGAAUAUACAUGUAAACAAUAAUACAAGAUAGAUAAGUCAAAUAAAUGAAGUGGGCCAAAUAAAACACUGACCUUCCAAUAGCACCAAUGACACACAUCGUAAAGAGGGUUGCAAAUAGAGCAAGAAUAAGCUUGUCUAGUUUCUUCUCCAAUGUACUUCUUUUAGAGGGAACAUUCAUAGAAUUCAUCAUAACCUGCAAUAGUGUCCCACUGCAGUAAAUCUCAAAACUAGAAGCACAUCUAACCUACAAGUUGAAUAUAUAGGGACACAAAAUUGCACAUACUUUCGUCUCAUGGCCCGUGAAUAUAACAGCCGCGACAAUGUACUCUGUAUUACGAAGGCUGCAUCCCUGUGGCAAAGUGGUAAUAAGAGGUUGCAUGUGUGCCACAUAAAGAGAGAGAAUUAAGUGUCAUGCAAGACACCGUUCAGUCUGGUGAAAGUAAACAUUUCUUUUGCACUUUACAAACAUUGCUUCAACCCUUCACCACUUAUCCUACAUAUGGGACUAGAGAAGAAAUGGAAGUUGUUUAUAUGAAUGUUAAACAUUUCCAAAUUGUUUAUAUCAUAGCUAUCCUUGUUUGCAAACCAAUAAGAACAAUAUUAUUAUAGAGGUGUUUUAUGAUGAAAAUUUCUGCUGGUGACAUUUGGGUGUCGUCAAUAUUGGUAUUUGGAGGAGAUGUUGGUGAUCAAAGUUAAAGGCCGAGUAAAGGCAUCACGCUAUGAUGUUAUUUUUUACCUGAGGGAUUUUCUUAACAAACUCAUGCUAAAUCUAGAACAUGCAAACAACUUUGCAGGUGGACAAUCUUGUAAAGAAAUUUCAAGGGCAUGUUUGUGUGAGGGGUAUUACUUUGGUACGUGUUGGUAACUACAUACCUAAUUGUUACAAGAAAAAUCUCAUCCAAACAAGCCCUAAGGACAUUAUGGACCUUGCUACUGCAAAGUUGGUAAGUCGAAAAUACGACAGGAUGUCUGAUUGAUAUGUAGGACCUGGACCCACAUGUCAUUCUCACAGCGAGUCGCACUAUUUCAAAUGUCAACUUUGUGGUGGCAUGGUUUCAAUUUUCCCAAUAAGAAACUAGAUACAAAUAGCAUAGAUGAACAGCACUUACCCUUAGUAGUAUUUGAUUUGGUGAAAUUGGUAUAGUUUGCUUGUCCACAAUAAGGUUCCCGGUAAAUGUAUAAAGUGAAUUGUUUGGCUGUUCGCAUUGUAUUUCACCUGUAAGCCAUGAAACAUACAGAUAAUGUGAAGUUAAGAAAAUGUAGAAUAGUUAAGUGAAGUUCAGAAAAGGAGCAAUGCUUCCUACACCAACUACCGAAAAAUGUCUGCAACAUGGAACAAGAAUAGAUAAAAACCUUUGAAUUCAGAAGCCUUUUCAGGAAUUACGCAGUCCCAGGUUUUCUCCAAAGCCUUCCUUAUUUUCAGGUUAGUUUCCCCAUCAAGAUUUGCUGUCUAAGGUAAAUAGAAGUAUGAUACACUUCAAUUAAAACAGAGUUUCUCUAAAUCAUUCAAUAAUUUCAAUUUGGACAAAAGAUGGAGAAGGUAAGAAUGAAUAUAUUGACCUCUAUGUAGCAGACACCAUCAGGGUUCGUACUUGAUAGGAAGAGCAAGUCAGAAGGAAAGUAAGUGUCUUGCUUGAUCUGCUCUAAAGAAGUGCCAUCACUAUUAGUCUUUUUGGAUAUGUGUAUCGAGCUGAAGAUUAAAUUUGCACAGCACAAAAGAUCAAGUGCAUUAAUUUGUGGAAGCAACAGAUCAAUUGAAUUGAUCAUCAAAUUGCUAUCAGGAAAGAUGAAGACAUUACCCUCACAAUAUCUCCAACCUGCAGUCUUUUCCAAGGGGCACUUUCCCAUUUUUGACCUUGCAAUACAUCGACGUGCGCAUUAUUAAUUGACAUGUCAUUCUGGAAACGUUUCUGUAUAAUGGGAGGCAAACAAAAAGGGAAGAAUAUCAGAUAACAUUAAGAAUAGCAAUAAAAUAGUGGAGCAACAGAGCAUGAGAGCAAUACUAACCCAGUCCUCAAAAGCUUCCUUGAUGAGUGAAACCAAAAGCACUAAACUAAGUGGAACCACAUUGGUGACAGGGUGGACUGGACUGCGAAGAUACAAGCAUGUAUGAACUAAGAUUUCUAGAAGUAAAGGUGAAGGAAAGCAAAGGAUGACUGAAUCAACUGAUGGACUUGAUAUGCUAAGAAGUGUCUAGCUGUAACAUGAGAAUUCCAUAGGGUGCAUGCAUGAGAGAGAGAGAGAGACCUAAUUGGUGUAGUCGACAAGAUUGAAAUCAUAAGAAAGUAAAGAUUUGCCACCCGUCUGAACUGUCAAAGCAAAAAAAAAAACAAAUGAAUUACAAAAGGUUCCUAUGGUCAAAUUGCGAUAAUACAGAAAGGGAACAUCUAAAUCGGUGUUACAGCUACCAUUGCAAAGUUUCUUUAUUCGAUAUGGAAAAAUGCAUUACAUGUUUAAUGUAUGAAGCCAUUGAAAUACUUUAAUGUACCUUACGUAAAAAACAGUGGAUAAUGAAAUUGCCAGAAUUAUGGUAUCGCAUAAAAUGAAGGUUACAUUGAGCGAAAAGCAUGAUCAGGGCUUUACCAAAUAACAAAAUCAUACUUCUCCUUUUCUCAAUAUAUGGCAUUUUAGGUUUCAUUGAAGACAAGUCUUUGAAAAGGAUUUACUUUGUGUUGUUUUUAAGGCAUGAAAUUUAUAUCACUAGAUUCAUCCUCAAAAGUACUUAAUGUGGAUUCAUAUCAUAUAAAUCACAUAUUAAUGAAGUAAUUCUUGGUCAAAGUCUUGUAUUAACGAAACCUAAUAUGUCCUGUAUUGACAAAAUGAGGGAGUAUAUUAUCUAACAGUGCAUGUAUACAGGCACGAUACUGGUAGCGCGUAUUACAAGCAAGGUAUCUUAAAAACAUUGCAACACAGUGCCAGACCAGGUAAGCAACUAAGCAUCUCAUGUAUCCACUAUUUUAAGGGAAGUUGAUCCAGAGUGAGGAAAUAAACAUUUUUAAGGAGAUAUAUCAAUUUGCAAUGUGAAAAUGAUACGGAGUAGUAUAAUCAUUUCACUGUGAUAACAAAUACUCCCUCCGUUCUAAAUACUUGUCGCUGUUUUAGUGCAAACUAAAACAGCGACAAGUAUUUAGGAACAGAGGGAGUAACUUCCAUUUACCGUUAGACAUGAUACAAAAUAAUAUGUUGAAAAAAAAUCUAGCCAAAAACUAAAAAACAAACAGAAAAUCUGCAUUAAACGAUGACAAACCCAGCAGGUAUGUUGAUUAACAAAAUAUGUAUGAACAAAAAACAACGCAUCAAUACCUGUUCAAACAAUCCUUUAGGUAGAAAUGUCAGCACACUGUACUUUGUAGUCGACACAGAAUUUCCCUGGAAAUGUAGAAUGAGAAUGUUAAAGAACUAAUUCUAGCAGAAAAACAAAGUAGCGCUCUGCAUUAGAAUCGCGAUGGUCUGAUACCCAACAUGAGGGAGAUUCUGAAACUAAACAGAAGAGCUAAUUGCAACUAGAAGCAUGAAAAAAGUAUAGCUUGAUCUUUUUACAACAUCAAGUCUGAAUACAUUCAAGCAUUUACACUAACUUGGAACAAAAUGUGGGUGUCAAAGAAAAUGCAUGAAUACACCUACUUACAAUAAAGCACCAAUUUUGCAGUGAUUGGACAAACUAUGGUUAAAAUACUUAAUAAUAGAGUUCUACGUAUUUGGAGGCAUAAAACGCAUUGCAGUUGGAGCAGUGGCAUUAUCAUGUUAGUCAGUCUAACAUGGCAGUGAAUGACGUGAAUUUUUUGCUAGUUUAGACCUCUGGCCAGCGCAAUUGACAAAAAUGCCCCCCUCUCAAAACUAAUGCCAAAAAUGGUCUGGCAGAAGGCCCGAAAGGCGCCACAUUUCAUUUUUCGCCAUCUGAGCUGCGCAUGCAAACAUUCCGACAACCUGAAAGGCGGAAAGGCCGUUCCGCCUACUGCAUUUGAUGAAUGCACCUGACAAGGGCGGAAGGUGAACUGGGCCCUGCAGAUGGAAGCAAUUUCCACAUUUGUUACAGACCUGGAAUCUUUUUUUUUGUUGGAGUCGACGGACCAUGUAUGUGCGGAUGCAUAGGAAUCGGCAAGCAGCCUAGCUGCUAGUUCACGGGCACGUUUUACAUUUUCUUUCCUCAGGUUUGGCUAGUGCUACCACGUUGAUACUAAUCAACGCUUCUUGUGAAUGGGCUUAGUUGCUUCUACUAGUCGUGCGAGCGUUAAUCUUUUCUCUGUGCGCCUGCAUGUGCGGGCGUGGGAAUCGGGUCAGGUCCCUGCAGACAGCACGCCUGGCUGCACUGGGCCUGCUUCAGCUUCCGCCCCUGAAAAUUCACUUUCGUCCAUUUCAACUGGAAACAAGUAGGCUCCACCUGUCCUGUUGGCGGAAAGUUCAUUCCUCCUACCCAGUGGCCACUGGGUCAGUUGCUGGGCUUUCCACCACGUCAUUUUUCAAAUUAUAUUUCAGAUGGAGCUAUUUUUGCCAAUUCCGUUUGACAAGGGGCUACAAGAGCAAAGAAAUUGAAUGACAUAGCAAGCAAUCAAUUUCCCCUUAUAGGUAAAUAAUAAACAGCUUUGCUUCAGCUUACUGUCAUCAGCUGGUGGCUGACUGCCCUGACCAAACACAAGUUCAGUAAUCUACACAGCAAGCGGCACACAGGUGCAGCUAAGCACAUGGAUGAACAGAAUAUUCCAGCCAUUGAGGCUCAGCUCUCGAAGCUUAAUGCCAGGUGGCAUCUACAUUGUAUUGCAGCCCGUAGCACCCUGAUUGACUAGUAACCCAACAAUGAGACAAGCUCUAAUCCACCCAAUGACCUCACAGUUGGCAAGAAAUGCAGCCCUUAGUGACACGCACCACCCUACAUAACUUUCUCGUGGACUAAUCAGUAUGAAUCAUAUAAACCCUCUGCAAGCUGCAGUGAAAUAAAACUACUACUACUGAACUAGCUAUUGUCCCAGAUGGCCAUCUCCAACCCAACCGCCCAAGCAUGAAACAAGGGGCCAGUUACGAGAUCUAGGCCUACAGACCCCUAGACCUUGAGACAACCGACCUGUUGAUCAUCCGAAUUAGAGGAGGAGGUGCACACCCGUACCUUGUACCCGACCGGCGCGUUGGCUUCGCGGUCGUUGCAGUAGAUGGUGCGCACGGUGGGUGCCUGCGGCUGCGGCUGCCGUCGGAGGCUGCCGCCCCCGCCGCCGAGACGCGCCGUCCUGGACGCCUCAGCGCGGCCGGCCUGAGAGGUCCCCCCCCGCGGCGACUGCUCGCCGCCCAGCCGCGCGGUGGCAACCCGCAUCAUCUCCUUUAUGCGCGAGCUCAUCCUGCCCCCCUCAGCGCCAAACCCAGCGCUGGAGGAGCCGGCGGGAGAUCUGGGGAAACCUCACGGUGGAUCGGAGGGGAGACCUAGUCGGAUUUGCGCGGCUUUCUGGUGGAUUUCAGUGCCUCGCUGAGGAGGGGAUUCGAUUUGGGUCACGCGUUCCCGUAUGUGCGUAUUUUUUCCGUGUAAUUUUUUUGUUUUGCCUUUUUCUUUUCCUUUGGCUCCGGGAGAAGAGAAGACAGGAGGGGAAGGAAAAGCGAAGGUCGCGACUUCGCGAGGAAGAAAAUGAAGGGAUUACUGCAGAUCACACCCUUGAUUAUUUUCGAAUAUGGAAAGCUCCAGUAACUGAAGUUUGAAAUUCCAGCCGCGUUUGUCUUUUCCUUCUUCGAGCAAACAACCGUGUUCUUGACUUGUUCUAUGUUUUUGCUGUCCGGAGGACUACCCGAUUUGCAAGUAAAUAAUGGCAUUAAUUUCAUAUAAGCACUUUAGGACACCACACUUGACAUGGUUUUCUACUGACGACGACUAUAUGGUGGCUUUGAUGUUCCAUGAAUAGAUCUUUUUAGCGGUGUUUCAAGUUCAGGUGUUAUAACAAAGCAUUACUCUUGACCUAUCUUCCCUUGCGACCAUGCUUUUUGAAUCGCCAAGUCGAGUCGAAUCGCCCCCCAACAGACUUGGAGGUUAGUAUGAUUAGUCAGAAACUAGUCUCGACUAAUCAACCCAAGUCGAGCCUAGUGAUCAGUGAGGUUUAGGGAGCUCUAGCAGGGAGCAUUAGAGGAAAGGAGUGAAUUGCAGUAGAGGGGAAGCACGAGGGAACAGUUUUUGUGGUGCUGGAGCUUGAAGAAGAGGUUCAUGGCGGCUAGGAUCUAGGAGUCGAUAAACUUAGAACGCCCGUGUUGAGGCAAACGCGUUGAGGAAGACGACUUCAAAGGUGGUUGGCUCAUUAUCAGGAUAGGUGCGUGCCUGGCAGCCCAUAAAGGCCUAUUAGAAAACCCUAACUCCCCCCUCCCCCCCCCCCCCACACACACAUUGCCUUCUUCUACACCACACACGCACCAAUGGCGGCCAUCUUCUUCCCCUUCCCUGCUGCUCCCCAUGCCUUCUCUCCCUCCCCGAAAAGAAAUAUCUUCCGAAAAUUCUUCUCUUCGAGUCAAGUUGAGGGGCUCGCGGCGUUCCUAGUCACGGCGGCUAGUCGGAGAAGUCGCGGUUCUAGCUGACGAGUCGCGCGACUUGCUCUGCUAGUCGAGUCGCGGCUGCAAGCCGCCAUCAUUGUGCUGGCUCGGCGACUAGUUGGCGAUUCAAAAACCAUGCUUGCGUCUUAUAAUUUUGUUUCCUCUUAGAUUUUUUUCAAUUAUGUAUGGAACUCUUUUAAGCUUGGCUAACAUAUUGGGUCAAUUUGUCUCCCAUUGAAAAAAAAACAAUUUCCUAUAAAAAAUAAAGUAUCCACAAAACAAUAUGCAUAGCGCAGUUGUUUUCAAAGUUGUGGAUGAAACUUUGUGUUGUACAGGCAACCACUUAAUAACUUGUUCGGUUGUAGAAUUCCCCGCAUGUAUUGAAGAGGAUUAAGAGAGAUCUAAGGAAAAUUGAUCUGCAAUUCGAUCAUUCCCUCUUAAUCCCCAUCGGAGUGGAAUCAACCGAACGGGGCUAAUGUGGACCAUAUCACCUUGAGGACUCCAUUCUUCUUUUAUGGCAACGUUGCAUGGACCUUGAUAUGAACGCACGUGCCUGCAAUCUCUAUUAUUUUUUCGUAAAUAGCAACUGUCCUUUCUGUAUCUUGUAAUAUGUUUUCUACAAUUUUAUUUGGGAUAUUUCGUCAAGAACCCAAAUCGAUUACAUUUUCCACUUUGGCGAAUGAGUCAAGAUUCUCCAUGUGUUCCAGCGAGGCAACUGCGAGCUACACAUGUAUGGUGAAACAAGCCUCGCAACUUCGUAAGUAACUCCAAAACUACAUCAGCACGUCUCUUGAACUUUGGAAACACACAGACGUGUUCCACGACCGUGAGGCGACGGAGUUAACGGGGCAGCGUUGCCGGAAAGACAAGAGUACCGUAACAAGGCCCAGACUGGGCUGCAUCGGCGUUCUGCCUCUAUUACAAGCGAGAGAUGUUGAACCGGCCAAGGUUAGGCAAGGCAGUCAGCGGGAGGAUUUUUUUUUUUUUGUUGUUGGUUUUGAAGAGGCGCGGGAGGAGAAGAACUUGCUUGACCAGCCCACAAGAUCGUGAACCGGUAUGACAUUGACAUUUUAUUUAGGGCCAGUAACGUGUAAUUAGAAGUACUAGCUUACAUCUCUUCCUUUUUGAACCGUCAGAUCUGCAACCAUAUCAUCUCUCCCCUUUGUCCUCUUCGCUAUGCCGAUUUUAGUGAAACGCCGCUGCCAAAUCUUCACAGGAUUGUGAACCGGCAGCAGCUUCGACCCUUCAAUAUUAUUAUUACAGCUAAAUAAAAGACUGAAAUUAUAGGUGAGGUCCUUUGUUCUAAUCGCCCAAGCGAGCAGAAGCCAAGAGAUUACGUGCAAGCAUAGCAUGGCCAUGUUCGCCAACUCAUGACAUAGUGGCACAGGGACUAACCACCUGGAUUACAUGGCUAGCUUCCAUAUAUGUGCAACAAAAUAUUGGUACCAGGCAGCCAUCUGUGCCACCAACCAUAAACUCCCUGAUCCCAAAAAAUACAAAAUACCAAGAGUUUCCACCCACAUCAGUACAAGUGCACAACAGUUUAAGAGACAAGCCAAGGAUCAUUCCCAGUUUGUGGGAAUAAAUAAGAGUCCGCAGCAAACAGAAAACUCAAAAUCGCUGGCAAAGUUAGGAUGUGGAAAAAAGAAAGGCUUAAAAUGAUCUAGCCAUGGCGUCAGAAUCUAUUAUCAAUGUUUCUCUCUCAAGGAUUUCCCUUCUAUAUAAAGUAUAAUAUUACAAAGGGGCUGCUUAAAUAUCAUGGACUCCUGGAAUGUAAAGAGGGUAAUAAUCAACACUACAUGAGCCUCCUUUUUCCUGAGGCUGCUUCCUAAGACUGACUGACUGCUUCCCCGAGGAUCCACAUACACCCUCCCCUCUCCUCAAGUUCCACCUCCCACCAUGGAAGUUAAACCCCCACCAUGGAUCCGAUGCUAACCAACUGUACGCGACCUGGAGAAAGUCAGUCAGCUUGGUGGUUCAAUCAAGACAGAGCAUCACGAUAUUGCCCAAAUGGUAUAAUUGGCAGGAUCAAUAAGUAGUUUAUGCUCGCAGCAAGAUCCAAAAGAACCAAUCUACCAUGACUAAUGUAUGACAAGAAUGAUGUCUUAUGUCUACUUUCAGAUACACUAUGGUCCAGGUGAAACAAUAUUUUAAAGUUUAGUAAUUACUGGCAGUAGUAGACAGACCACAGAAGUGUAAAGAUAUUUGCACACAUGACCUUUUAAUCCAAGGCUAACCCAACCUUGUAAGCUACGUGCUGUUUGUGCUAACGCUGCUGCUUGAAUGCAAUUAGACAGUGGUGAUGUCCUUGUUAGUCUGUUACAUACCUAAGGCAUCACCUCCUGAUUCUAGGUUUGCACCGGAACUCUGCUAAGAGCGCUAUGUGAUCUGAUGACCAUUCAGGUGAAGGAAGAGCAGUGUCUUUUCUUAAGCUCUCCUCAUCCAGAAGUUCCAACAAAGACUCCACGGUCAACGAAUCCGCUGAAACAAUAAAGGAAACAUGAUCAACUGACCAUAAUCAAACAUAUCACAAUACUACAAGCUGAUUCUGAAGCAAUUCCCAGAAGUCUAAAUACAGCAUACAGGUCAGGUACCUACCUGUGUAAAAUAUAUAAUCAACAGUUCCAGUGAAAUCCCUUGUGCAAUUUGUGAAAAGUGGUUCAUUUGUUCCUGGAUCCAUCCUCCUUCGCUGGUGCUCUAAAUCAUAGCCAACACCUACCAUUCUUGCAAAUGAAGAAUAUGCACUGACCUGCAAACAAGUAAACAUUGGUCAGAAUUUUAAAGGAAGAACAAGAUAGACAAGCUUGAUAGUUUUACUGUACCAGAGGAAGCUGGUGCGUCAACUUGCUCACGGGGCGUAAAAUUGAAAGUGGGUCUAUGGCCAGAUCUGGAUGCAAUUGAUCAACUUUGCCCACCGCAAGAAGCCCAUGUGGAGUACUGAAAGACAAAAGGAAGCACUUAGAGAUUUAAAGUUAGAAAAAACAAGUAAACCUGAAAAAUAUUGCUCCAAUAGAAUCUUGACAUGCACCUCCCCGGGAUUGAAUUGAAAUCCCCACAGACCAACAUUGGAAUGUCUGCACUGUUGGCUAUUUUCUCCAAUCCUUUUAGUAGUGUUUGAACCUGCAAAAAACAUACUUACUUUCGAUCUGAAUUUUUCAGAUGUUGCAGAAUGCUAGCCUACAGAGAAUGUGACAAUACUGACCUCCCAUAGUUUCACAUCUUUGAGGUCUUGGUGGACAUUUACAUGUGUAUUGGCCUGAAAUUUGAGAUCAUUUAAAAGAAUGAGACCUCCAUGACUCCAAGUAGCAUAAGCCUAGGCCGUAUGAACAAUGGGAAAUCUGUAGUAAAGUUGGCCUCAAAAUCUAGAGUCUAGAGAGCCAAGUCCCAAUCAUCCGCCAUUAACAUAUAGAUGUUUCCGUGCAUCUUAUGCUACUAAGGUCAUCCUACACAGAUAUAUGUUUCACUUCAUUCCUAAAUGUUGUGAGCAAAGAAGGAAAAGAAUCCAUAUGUUGUUCUGCACUAUGCUGCUAGCAGUUCAAUAGCUAAACAUACGGGAAAGUCCACUUUUGGCCCCUUAACUAUUGCCUCAGAUCAAAAUCAUCUAAUUUGCACCCUCAACUAUCAAAAGCAUCCAAGUUACAUCUGAAGGCAAUAUUUGUUAGAGGCUUUGUGUGAUGUGGCAUCCAUGUCAACGUGUUUUGCCACAUCAAUCGCUGCUGGGCAGUAGGGCCCACAUAUCAUGGCUGCCGUGCCCCUUCUUUCUUUAUAAUUCUUCCUCCUUAGCCAUGCCAUGGCCUCCUCUGUAGGCUAUAGCUUCCACUGCUGCUGCUACAGAUAACCCAUGUUUGACGUUGCAUAACAUCUUCUGAUUUAGAGAGGGGUAUCCUGACAGACAUGUACCAGUCUCCGCAAACCGCUGCACGGCUGCAUCCUGAGGGGAAUGGACAAAGAGAGGAUUAGAGAGGAAGGCUGAGGAGGGAGGCGUUUAGGGCGACUCCAACACGGCCACCCAAAUCGGACACAAAAAGUGUGUCCGUUUGGGUCUGCUGGUGCCCCUAACACGGUCACCCAUUUGGUCCGUUUUAUUAUUUAGUAUUGGCCACGGAUAGGCGGGCCAGGGCAAGGACAAGGGAGGACAAGCGCAGUGUCCACCCGCUGUCCGCCCAGACACAAACCCGGUCAGAUUUGGGUCGGCAAUGGGUUGAGCUGGACAGAAAAGCAGACAGCCGCCACACCGGACGAAAUGGGUCGCCGCGUUGGAGUCACCCUUAAUGCUAAGCUGGGAAAGAGGAAGGGAACAGAAAUAAGAGGAUGAGGACAAGGGAGGGAGAAAAGGGUGCUUCCAAAAAAUCAAUCCCAGGCAUGUGGGGCCUACUGCCCAGUGGAGAAUGAGAUGUCAAAGUUGCUGAUUUGGCGGCUACAUACAGAAUAUCACUCAUGAAACCAGCUUCUGGUCCUAUCGAACGGUUUCAUGAGUUGAUGGUUCAAUUUAGACCAGGCAAAAGUUGAGGGAUCAUAAUUAGGCUUUUCCAAACAUAAAUGAAUGUCAUGCUGUAAAAGUAGUGUUCGUCAUCCAGUAAACUGGUUCGAAUAUCCAACAAGCGCACAACUACUUUAUACACAUCUAAAGAAAGAACAGCUAUUUACAUACCACACAAAGGAGCUGCCUUUUACCAGGAGUUUCAGUUCCUUGGUUGCCAAAUUUUGCUUCUAAAACCGCAAUCAGCGCAAUAUUAUCCUUCAAAGCAAAUAGAACGUGUGAUAAAUAACAUCACUUUUUUUUGCGAAAAGUGAUAAAUAACAUCACUGUAGCAUACAUUAUUUCUUUUGAAGUUAAUCUUACUUUAAUCAGUCGACUUAAAGCCACUCUUUUCUGGGAAGCUGGAAUAAUAGCUUCUGUUAAAGACUGUGCAGCCUUAUUGAACUCAACCUACACAAGCAAGUACAAGUAUUAGAUAGCUGCAAAUAUCAAGCUGCUGCAAACCUGCAGUACAGGUACCUCGUAUUUUUUGACAUGUGAAAAUCUAUCUCUACGGAAGAAAGUAGCACAGCCAUCAAUGGCAUUAGGAACUCCAGCAUACACCUGUGACAACAGUAAAGUAAAAUCAAACAAGAGACAAAAGGUAUUAAACCAAAAUAUGAAGGAAAAAAUCAACCCAAAGAUACCUCUGUUGUCCGUUUCUUGUAAAGCGCCUGAUACCCAUGUUUAUCAAACUCAGGAGCAAAAAAAUCCUCAAAGUGGUUCAAUUGUACCUGAAAACAGUAGGACUUGGCUUAAUUCCCUCCUGUUACAAUCUUCGGUCACUCUUCGUUUUUAUUGUAAGCCGCUUCAGUAAACUCUUCAUAAUAUAUAUGCAGACAAUAUUCGUGAAAGUUUAAACAGCAAGCAAACUAUCAUAAAUUCAUAAUCCAACAUCACUGAAAAGUGAAAACAAUCAAACAAAGUGAUGGCACAAAUAUGGAAACGAACAGCCCAGCAGUAUAUGAAAGAUUGUAGGUUGAUGAACAGGGUUCCGGCAUUAAAGUUUACCGAGUCGCAAAAAUUAUAUGAUCAACCAAAUGAGACAUGCUCGGUUCCUAAAACAAAUAUAUGAGAUGAAAAGCUGAAAAUAGGUCACCAAAAUAAAUAAAUUCAGAAGAUAGCAAACAUAUGAUACCUCCUGAAGACAUAUAAUAUCAGCAUGAUAACCAAUAAUUUCGCGCAUCAAAUUUUGUCUUCUGUAAGUCCAUGAAAGUGCCCACGUUGGGCAGUAGCUAUAUGCAUCAGAUGUAGCAUAUGCAUCAGCAAGAAUAUUAUAGGACAGCACCGUGAAUGUCCCAAAAGAAGAAGUCUGGCUGUCUAUAUCUGAGUGACCCAAAACAUCUCCAUUCACUUGGAUAAGGCGGCGUGGAGUAGGAGUUGGUGCUGGAAUCACACGUGAUGUCAUAAUUGAAGUUGGAGACCCCGCAGGUACUUUCUUUUCCGUAUCCACCGCUGCACAUUCAAAUCUUAGAACAUGCCCAAUAUCAUCAGCAGUUGGUGUAUACGUCUGCGAGCGUCCCACUUCAAACCAUGUUUCACCCGAGUUCUUAUCAGUGCCUGAGGGAUACAAGGGAACAGGUCCAUUAUUAACUCCAGGGCUCUGUCCAAGAUUUGACAUUGAGCCAGACCCAGAACUUAGAAUCCCAGAACUACCGCUGCCAAAUCUACCAAAUAGCUCCUCCUCUUCAGCUCCAUUUUCAUUUAAAGCACUACUAGCUCGCUCAUGCAAAACCCUGUGGUGCUGCCAUGCAUCAGAGAAGCACUUAGCAGAACAAUGGUAGCUCUUAGCAGCAGGUAUUUUUGACUUGAGACAACCUAAGCACUGAAUUGUUGCUUGCUCCAUCGGAUGUACACUGCAGAUAGUAACUUUUCGAUCACUCUGUAUGCGAUACCUUCGAGCGAAAAGUCAAAUCAGUAUAACCAUGUGCUACUAGAUACAGAAAAAGUUUAGAAGAACAUGAUUGAAUAUAGUAACUACAAGAAAGGACACCUAAAUUGCCAAUGUUUUAGCAUGUAUGAGAUCCAGGAAAACUUGCUAUCAGCAUCUUGGAAGUCCAUUAUUCAGAGACAUUAGACUCACAACACUUCCAUUAUAAGCAUAGUAUGAAUAAGGCAAAAUGAAGCAGGUUGCCAAGAUGUCGCAAAAAAAAAGAAGCAAAUUACAAGUUUGCUUGUCAUGAGUUGCUGCUGCUGUUGUUUUUUCUUGAUUUUAGUCCCUCAACCGGCUAACUCGUGAUCAUUCAUCUCUUGCUUUCUUUACCAGAUCAACCAUGCAACUGAUUUCUUUAGCGGACCAGGCAAUAUAUGUAAUAAGCAAAAUUCUACAGUUUAGAUCAGAGAUUCAGAGGACUAUUGCAGGCUCUCAUAUAUCAUCAUUAGGGCAUGACGACCAGACAAGGAAGUUGCUGUGUAUAUUAUUAUUCCUAGAAGAAAAACAUUUAAGUACUGUUCAAGGAGGCGACCAACUAUAGCCCAGUGCCCACCCCAUCAAUCGAUUAGUGUCUUUCAGAACACUUCAUUUCAACAAUGUGUCUAUAAAUGGCCACACUUACUAUACUCAAACCUCAAACCUUAAAAGUGAAUAAAGAUGCACAUAUCACAUGAGAUUCUAUCAAGCUAAUGACUGAAAAGCAACACAAUGAAAAUAUAAAAAACUAUAGAAUUGAAGGACCAAAACCAAUGAAACUGCAUGAGUGUUAGUGGGACCAAGCACCACCAUUUCGAAAAGUUCUAAGGUCUAAAGUCUCAGCAAUAAAUGCUAUUUAAACCUACAUGACAUUAAAAAAACGGAUGUGAUAAAACAAAUAAAUAUUCACGAACAUGAUCAAUCAUUCAGAGCGGGAUUCUAAAAUUGAUCACUGAAAUUGUUCGGCCACCCAGCUAUUAGUGAUUAUACAGCCGAGCUAGCUCAUUGCAGUGGGUGGCAUAACCAGCGGUUACAAGUUCUUUUCUCUCAUAUUUGCCUCUCCAUUUUUCAUUUUUUUAUUUCCAAAUAGAUCUACAAUGUUAUUUGAAUUUUAAAAAUAAUAGGUAGGGCACUCCUUACAUACAUGACCUCCUAGGCCAUUUAAAACAAAUAUGCAUUGUUUGGGGUUUUUUAUAUAACAUAAAGUAAGUUAACUAUGACACACUGCCAAAAUAUUUUUGCAUAAAAAACAUUAAAUUUGAUAUAGCACAGAAAGAACGUGGAUAUCCAGCAAGAGAUUAAAGAAGGCAAAGUGGGGCAGGCAGUCAGCAAAACAAAACUAGUGGAUCACGAGUUUCAAACUUUUACUAGCUUUAAGCAACUGAAAUAACUUGCCACUGAACCUAGUGAGCCAACAACUCUAACGUGUAAUAGCAAACAAGUAAUAAUUCUUUUGAAGCUCCAGAAUAAUCAAAACUGAGUCUAGAAUCAAGCUAGAAUGCCCAUUUGAGUUCACUGGUGAUGUUAGAGUGAUACUUAGUUCAAGGAGUAUAUCCAGAUACCCCAAUCAAAAAAAUCAUCUGAAGCCAUGCGAACAAACUGAUGGCACUUCUAGAAUAGUGUCUUUCCACAAAAUUAGUUAGAUAAGCCUAUGUAAUCCCAAAAUUUAUAAAAUGCUCCCGUUCCAUCCAAGAUGAACGUAAACAUUCCUGCACAACGAUUGGCAACAAUCCUCAACCCAACAGCCUUCAUCACCAUCCUAUGAUGCUAUCUAACACUCAAUAGUUCUAGCAAAACCAAAAUCAGAUGGUCUGUUUUGCUCAAUGAAUUACUUAUUAUCAUUACCAACCCGUGUGGCAGGUUGAUAUGGCAUAGACUAAAUAGUAUGAUUCAUAAACAGGCUUAAAAUAAUGCAAUACUGAGUUCUUUACCAAAUCAAGCAUUGGCAUUUCAUGUUCCCUGGGUUUCCAUUCGUUCCAAAAACAAACAACUGUCUUGCUAGAGAAAAUCAUGCUCAGAAUUCAUAUAGUUGUGCUUCAUUUAUGCAAGAAUCAAGACGAUUCAUGAGUUUAGCAAGUAGUUAAGCAUCUAGCAAACUGAUUGAUACUUAAAGCCCCCAUUUUCUUUUUUUCUUUUUUGUCAAAAUUCACUUGUAGCAACGCACAAGCGGAACUAAGCAUUCGAAAGUGUAUAUCCUAUUGAACCAAAAGUUGCAAUCACGAGCUGCUCACUCACCAUCUGUAUCGCAUGAAGUGGCCAUCAACAGGCGCGGCCUCAGGCACGUCGUCGGUGGAGAUUACACCGUUGGGCAGCCGCAGCAGCACGUACGGGGUGAUUUCGCACCCCACGAUCGGGAUCUCCGACGGCAGGUGCACCCGCACC